rnacentral:lncRNA from 1 species
UGAGUACCGUUGUUUCGUUGGUGGUCUAGCCGGUCCCCCCGACAGCGACGCCCUAGCCAAAGCCUUCUCUUCCUACGGCGAAGUUACUGAUUCCAAGGUCUGUUAGUUGCGGCGGAUCUGACACGAUUAUGAUUCGGAUUCUUCUCGAAACCAUUCUGAUCUGUGAUCUUUGAUCUGUUGUGUUACUUGAUCUAUUAUUUCACUGUUUCUGUUACUGUUACUAUAUCAUGAUUCUUUUAAUACUCACACCAAUAGGUACGUUCAUCUUCGUCUUUUAUACAAAGGAGAAGAUCGAUCGGUUACUAUUCGGUUAUGGAUCCGUUUUUUUGUUGUUGUGAUUUUUGGAUCUGAGAUUCUUGUGUUUUUUGUUUGUUUAGGUUAUUAACGACCGUGAGACUGGAAGGUCAAGGGGUUUUGGAUUUGUGACGUUUUCAACUGAGCAAUCCAUGAGAGACGCAAUUGAAGGGAUGAACGGUCAAGAUGUUGACGGACGUAACAUUACCGUGAACGAAGCUCAGUCUCGUGGUAGCGGUGGUGGAGGCGGCCGUGGUGGCGGUGGAUAUGGUGGAGGCGGUGGAUAUGGUGGUGGACGUCGUGAAGGUGGAUAUAACAGAGGUGGCGGUGGAGGAUAUGGUGGUGGAGGUGGAUAUGGCGGAGGAGGUGGUGGUGGUUAUGGUGGUAGCAGAGAUCGUGGAUAUGGUGGUGGUGAUGGUGGUUCUCGCUACUCACGUGGCGGUGAAGGUGGUGGAAACUGGAGGGACUAGAUUUAAGUUCUUCUUGUUGGGGUUUAUGAUUAAGAAUGUUCUCCUUGUCAUGUCACUUUAGUAGGUUUAAGAAAUUAGUGGUUUGGCUAUGGUAUUUAUCAUGUUAUGGUUUUGUGUUACUGUGGUUCUCGUUUUUGUACUCUGGAUCUGGUUGUGUAUAAACGAUCGAUUGAAAGUAUAAUGAGAAAUUAGUGUCAGCAAAUUUACCAACAUGUCUUUGAUUUUCCAGUUCCUCUUGCUCUGAAUUCGAAUUAAAUUCUCUUGAUACACUUAAAUUAACAUACUGAUUUUGAGAGACUAUAACUACUAAAAGUACCACGUCUAUAAUUACUCCUGCGGUUAGACGGUGAAAAUAUGUUUUUAUUAAUCAUAAUUAUUUUUGAACUCUUAAUUAAUUUUGCAAUUUGGAAAACCAUUGUUUUAAUACAACUGCAAGUCGUAGAGUUUUCAAGCAAAUGAGCUUCCAUGUUUCAUUUGCGGCCGACAUCAAAUGUUAGUAAAACAUGAUUCUCUCUUUGUAACAUUGCCCAAACUUCGGGCUUUGGUUUUAAACUUUGAGCCUAACUGGAGCAAUGUCUCCUAUUUGUGAGCUUCUUUAUUAACCUUUAUUUCAACAUAGAAUAAAAACCACCACCUGUCAUCCCCCAAUUGAUUUAACCAUAGGACGUACUAUUGUUAAGGGUUUAGCAUUCAAAAGGAUUUUCAAAAAGUUCUCGCACUUUUUGUUUGGUGCGCCAAUUUUUCAUUACAUGGAUUGUGGGAUGAAUAUAAAAAAAACAAACUAAACCCACAUGGAGGAUUGCAAUAAAGAGACAUAUAUAGAUAGCUAUAAAUUCAAUUUAUUGUUCCUUAACGAGUGAGUUGCUUAAGAAAAUAUUCACUGUUUUUUUUUAAAUAAAUAAACAUAAUUGAUAUUCCAUAUCUAAAUAUCUUUUUAUUCGAAAUAGAAUUUUCUAUUUCAAAUUCGUUUCUAAAUUUGUCCAUACACCUUCAACAAAAUCAAAAUUCAGAAAUGAGAUACGCACGAUUUUUUUUAUUGAGGGCUGGCAAUAUCCACAAUGAUUACAAUAAGAUUCAUAAAAAAGACCGAAAUGUAACUAUAAUUUUUACGUAUCACAUGUGGUCCCUUAACUUAAUUUCAGUUAAGGAUUUAGUUUUUUAUUUAGUCCUUUAUUCCUAACAAUAUCAAAAAAAGUAUGAAAAUAUGAGUUUAUUUGAAGAUUUGCGUUACGAAAUUGAUGAAAUUUGUAUUAUAUUGAAAAAUAUAAUUAAUUUUAUGAGUUUUGUUUGAUUUUUUUUUUGAAUUUUUGUAUAAAAAAGGAUAACAUUGUUGAAAUUUUAAAACAUCAAAUAUCAAAUUGUCACUUAAAAAUAAAGAACCAAGUCGGAAAAAAAAAAAAAAGAUAAAAGACUAAAACGUUAACUAUUAAGUUAAUGGACCACAUAUGUAAUUUAGCCUUUUUACUAUUGUUUUUCCAAGUAUGUAUGAUAUCCAUAUGAGUUAAAAUUGAUGGGUCUUCAUUGUUAUAAAAUAUAAUUUUUGGUGCAUGACUCAUUAAAAUUUAUUUUUUACAAAAUAAGAGUCAAACAAACCCUCAAUGUGGAUCCAAAAAUUCAUCUUAAACCCAUAACUUCAUCUUUAUCUCCAUGAUCGGAUCUUGAAAUUAGAAAAGAAAUAAAUAAAUAAAAAUUAACCAAACUUUCCAACCCAUAACUUUUUUUGGACACCAAACCUGAAAAAGUUACAUGUGAAAAAGAACCCCAAAAUGCAAAACCAUAGGUUCAAGCAGUAGUAACAACAAAUUCUGAUGAUACAAACUUUUCUUCAACAAUAGUCUUUCUACCACCUUGUCUCCAAGAUCCACCUCAAGUAGGUUCCUAUUAUCUCCUUUUUUUUUUUCUGACCAUUUUUAACAUUUUUUUUCUUUCACCGGGUUGAUCUUAUAUACAGCUUUGCAUUUUGUCUAUCCCAAACACCUAAGAUUUUGUUGUUUAAUUUAUUUUUUAUUUUUGUUUAAUAAAUUUUAUUGGAAGUUGAGUGUGUAAUGUUACGGUGGAAGUUGAGUGUGUGUUUGAUUUACGGUGGAUGUUUGGUCUUGAUGAAAAAAAUUGAAUUUCACAAGUUAAAUUGUACCGUUUCAUUUGUUUGCAUGAAUCACAAUUGUUAAUUUUUCUGUAUUUUCACCAUACAUGUAGAAGUAUCUGGGUUGGAGAUCAGUUUCUAUUUUUUUAUUUUAUGAAUUUCUGGAUUUUUGUAUUGAACAAUAUGAUAAGUGCUGUAUUUUUGUAUUGAACAAUAUGAAAAGAUACGAAAUGUAAAACUAAGUUUUAAAAAAAUAAUGUUUCGAAUUUUUUAAAGUUUUAAAACUUUUGUUUAAAGUAAUUUCGAAAAUUUUAAAUUAAUUCAAAAUUUUAAUUUUUUUUUUAAUUUAAAACAUUAAAAAUAUAAUCUCUUGUUUUUUAAUUUUUUUUUAAAGUUUCAAACAAUACGAAAUUUCUAAAAUAGAAAAUUGGUUAAAUAGUAUCUGAUCCUUUAACUUAAUUACUUUUUUUUUUAUUUGAUCAUUUAUUUUUAUUUUAAGUGACAAUUUGAUCUUUUGUGUUUUAAAAUGUCAACAAAUAUUAUUUUUUUUUUACAAAAAUUUAAAAUAUUUAUUAAAAUCUUUAAACAAAACCCAUAAAAUUAAUUAUCAUAUUUUUUUAAUUAUUAUUUAAUAAAUUAUAAAUAACUAAAAUAUUUAAAAAUUCAAAAUAUUAUUAAUAAUAAUAAUAAAUUAAAUAAUAUUAUUAAUUUUAAUAAUAACAAUAAUAGUAAUAAUAAUAAAGUAAUUUAUAUUAAUAAAAUAAAAUUAAUUAAAUUGAACAAACAAAAUACAUUAAAUUAAAGAAAAAAAAUGCCACAGAUAAAAAAAAAUAGAGGAAGAAGUUAACACGUCGUUUAUUUUGACACAUUUAUUUAACUGUAUUUUUUUUCUUCUCCAAAUUAGUAUUUUUAUUUUAAUUUUUUAAUAGUAAUUUUAUUUUUUUAGUUAUUUUUAAGUUAUUAAAUAAUCAAUAACUCAAUUGUUCACAAAAUAAUAGUAAGUGUUAAUUUAACUGCAAAAUAUAAUUGAGUUGUCAAAAUAAUAUAAUAUUUAUUUAUUUAUUAAAUUAUAAUAAAAAUAGGACAUAAUUGUUAAAAAAAUACGCUGUUGGUUUAUCGGCAAAAUAUCAAGGACACGUUAUUUGUUUUUGCACAUUACAAUAACAACUUUAUCAUAUUAUAAAAACUCCAUCCUCUUUGUUUUGACACGUUAUUAUAAUAACUUCCUCGACACAUUACUAUAACAACAUCCUACUAUUUUUUUUAUCUAAUAUAUAAAAAUUAAUGAAAAUAAUAAUAAAAUACAAAUUUGAUGUAUUUUUUGUUUAAUUUGUGGUAUUUUUUCUUCUUUAAUUUAACGUAUUUUGUUUUUUCAAUUUAAUUAAUUUUAUUUUUUUAAUAUAAUUUAUUUUAUAAUAAUUAUUAUUAUUAAAUUAAAAUUAAUAAUAUUAUUAAAAUUAUUAUUCUUCUUAUUAUUAUUUAUUAAUUUAUUUUAUUUUAUUAAUAAUAUUUUGAAUUUUGAAAUAUUUUAAUUAUUUAUAAUUUAUUAAAUAAUAAUUAAAAUUGUUAAUAAAAUGAAAAUAAAAAUAUAUAUAUAUAUACUAGUAGAUGGUCGCAUCCCCUGGAUGCGACCUUCUGUUGAGGAUAACAAAAAUUUUGUUUAGAUCGUCGCAUUCUCAGGUUACGAUCAGCAAUUGAGCUUAAAAAGUAGGACAUUUAUAUAUUAUUUUUUAGAAGUGUGACAUUUUGAUGAAAAAAAAGGGAUAUUAAAAAAAAAAUUCAUCAAAUGCAUAACUCAAAUAUUUAAAAUAAAUUCAUAUUUUCAUUUUCAACAACGUCAAAUUUAUCAAAUAAAGAAUGAAAACAUUUAUAGUCAAUCAAAUUUUCAAAAAUUUAAAUUUUUUCAAUAAAUUUUACUAAAAUUUUAAAUAUAUGAAUAAAUUAAAUUAAAUUUUUAUAUAUAAUAAAAAUAAUAAAUAAACUAUUUAAGUAUAUUGGAAGGUGAGAGGUCACAAGUAAAAAUCUCUUCAAAUAGAGAGUAAUAUGUGGCAAUUGUGUUAUAAGUCAGCUAAAUAAGGAGGCCCAUCACUUGUUGGCGGCCGUGUAAUACUAGAUCUAGUUGUACUAGGCUACUAGUUCAGAAAACAAGUUUAUUAUUAUUUAAUAAUUUAAAUAAAUAAAUUUUGGUAAAAAAAAUUAAUGGUGAGCCUCCAAUUUCCUCUGUCUUUUAUUAUAAUUUUAUUUGAAUUAUUAUUUGGCCCCUGCUACCAACUAGUCCUAGCUUUGCCUCUGAACAUACCGACACAUAAAAUAAAAAAAAAACUGAAAAAAUAAGUUAUGUAUUGUUGUAUUUAAUUGUGGUUGAUUGUAAGUGUAAUAUAAUUUUACAUAUAUGAUGGAUAAUAUUUAAACUCUUUUACAUUCUAUAAAAUUAGUGACUUUUAUAUCCUUUAAAAAAGUAUAUAUGAUUGUUAUGUAUUAUUUGGUUGCAGUAAAUGUGCUACAAAUGAAAGAAACAAAAAAGAAAGUUUCUAAUAAUUUGAAACAUAUUUUCACUGAUAAUUUGUUGAAAAGAUUUCACAAAUUGAUUAACUAAUGUAUAUAAUUGAUCUAAAUAUCGUGAAACGUUUUUCAUUAAUGCGUAAAUGAGAACCUUUUGUUUAGAAUUUAGAGAAACAACGUACAAAUAUGAAGUGUAAAAAAUUAUUGUUAAUUUGUUAUAAUUGUUCUUAUUUUUUGGCGAUAAUAUUAAAAAAAUUAUUAUAUUUUUCUAUUUUGAUGUCCAACCUAAAAAAGAUAUAUAAUAAUACUUCAUCUUCAAUUAAUUAUAUUUUUCUUAUUUUAAGUCAAUGUUACUAUAAAAAUAUUAAAUUUUAUUAAUUAGGUAGAUGUAUAAAUAUUUAUUUAUUGUAUGAUUUUUGUACUUAGAUAUAAUUAAUAUAUUAUAAUUAUUUUUAUUUUUAUUUUAAAUAUAUCAAUAAAUUAAGAAAUUAAAAUAAAUUAAUUAAUGACAAACAUUUGUUCUGUGUAUGAAUUGUAUAUGUUCUAUUAGUUUCUUUAUUAACUUUUUUUUUAGAAAAAUAACGUAAAUAAAUUGAUGUGUGAAAAAUUUAUUGUAGAUUAUUAUAAUUGUUUUUAUUUUUUUUAAAGUUAUAUUUUAUUAAUUAGGUACAUAUACAAAUAUUUGCCAUGUGCAUAGUUUUUAUAAUAAAUUAUAAUUAGUAUAUUGUUGUUAUUCUAAUUUUUUAUAAGAUAAAAAAAAAAUUAAUUAAUGAAUUGCUUAGUGAUUAACUUUGUUCUAUGUAUGAAAUAUACGUUUUCUCUAUUUUUUGAUUGAAAGCAAUAAAUUCAUGUAUUUUUUGGGAUAAAUUAACAUGUUGCACAUCUUAAAAUUGUCAGAAAAUAAUGUUCAUAUACAUGCUCAUUUGCUUAUCGGAAUUUUACACUAAAGCGUGACUUUGUUUCUUUUGAGCUUCAUUGAUUCACUAUUAAAUUAAUUAAAAAAUAACAGUUCAUUAAUUUUUAUUUAUAUCUAAAAAAUACUCUAUAACUUUUAUUUAUUAUUUUAAUUUUGAUUUUAAAUUAUAUAUCGUAAUAUAAUAACCAAUGUUGGCUACCUAUAUACACAAAAUAGACACAUUAACUUUUUUUUAUAAUAAUAAUAAAAUAUUUCUUAUAUUUAGGAAUGAUGGAGUAACAAAUAUAUAUGUGAAAAUAUUAUCUCUUAUUCUUAUUUGAUGAUGUUUGUAUGAUUGUGUAAUAUAACUUUGACAUAAUAAAUUGUGUAAUCCUUUUAAGUUUGUACGAAAAUAUCAAAUUGAUAUUUUAAUUUUUUUUUUAUAUCAAGUUAGUCUAUAAUAUUGAAUAAUUUUCAGUCACAACCUCAUUUCAAUCAUUUUUAUUUAUAGAUAUUUAAAAUGGUACUACGAAUUUUGUUUUUAAUUAUAUAAAGAACAACAUAAUAAUUUUUCAUGUGAUCUCAUGAUAUAGAUAGAGAGAAAUUUACAUUUAAUUUUAAGAAUCCUAAAAUCUAUUUUACAUAAAUUAUCUCUUGUUUAAUUAUUUUUCUAAAAUUUGAUUGAGAAUUUUUAUUCUUAUGACCGUUGCAAUCAAAUUCCCUUCAAAAUUACACAAGUUUACUGAAAAAAUUGAGAGAAUUUUAAAUUUUAAUUUUGUUUAUUUGAAAUUAAAAUAAUUAAUAUAAAAAUUUAUAAAUAUAAAUGACGAAUUUAACACUAAAAAAAUAAAUAACUAAAUUAUUACAAAAAAUAUAAAAAUUUGAUAUAUUAUUUUCCUGUAACUUAGAAAAUCAGAUAAUAUAUUUUGUAACUAUAAAUUUUCAACCUAUAUUAAUUUUUUGUUUUAUGAAAUGAGUCCUACUAUAUUAUUUGAGCUAUGUGUUACUUUAAGAUUAUUAUUAUUAUUUUUUAAAAAUAUUUAUAUAUAUUAGUAUUAGGGGACUCUUAGGACCAAUUCAAUUUUGCCUUUAGAUCAUUCCGUCUAUAUUAGUGUAAGUUGAAACUUAAAAAUUUGUCCAAUCUAAUUUGAGAAUUGAGUAAAUAAAAAAUAAAACCUGACCUAAAGCGUCUAAAAAGUGGGAAUAAAAAAGAGAAAAUUAUUUGAAAGAGAAUCUCGAUGGAUGUCCCAAUAGCCCAUAAAUAAUGAAGAUGGGUAAAAGCGACAGCAACGCAACGGGAGUGAUGCAGUGCUAAAUCAUGCUAAGUUUAACCUAACCCACGCCGUAACCCUAGUAGUUUUUUACAUACAUUCGUAACCGUAGUUAAAACCUUGGGUAGAGGAUAAAAAAUAUCUUUGUGUUCAUUUACAACCGUAACCCUACCAGUACCACACCCCCUUCUAUAUAACUGCACCUUGACUGAAGUAUUGAAAAUAUCUUCAUUUCUAUAAUUGUCUAGUCUUUUUCUUUCUCUCCUAAAAUCUAGGUUUUGUUCAUUUAUCAAUGGCGUCCGCAGAUGUUGAGUACCGUUGCUUCGUUGGUGGACUUGCAUGGGCCACCGAUAGCGAUGCCCUUGAGAAAGCCUUCUCUCAAUACGGAGAGAUCGUCGAUUCGAAGGUCCGUUUGUUGCAGGCGGAUCAUACACGAUUUGGAUUCCUAUUCUGAUCUGUGAUCUUUGAUCUUUUGUGUUACUUGAACUAUUCUGUUACUGAUUCUGUUACUAUAUCAUAUGAUUUUGUGUUACUUGAUCUAUUACUCACCCCUAAUAGGUACGUUCAUCUUCAUCUUUUAACAAAAAGGAGAAGAUCGAUCGGUUACUAUUCGGUUACUGCUUUGUUUUCGUGCUUUCGUACUUUUUUUUCUUAGAUCUGAUGUUUGUUUAUUAUUUAACGUGCAGAUUAUUAACGAUCGUGAGACUGGAAGGUCAAGAGGGUUUGGAUUCGUGACAUUUGCUAAUGAGAAGUCAAUGAGGGAUGCUAUUGAAGGAAUGAACGGACAGGACAUGGACGGACGUAACAUUACUGUUAACGAAGCUCAAAACCGUUCAAGUGGCGGUGGAGGAGGUGGUUACGGUGGAGGUCGUCGUGAAGGUGGAUACAACCGAAGCAGUGGUGGUGGUGGAGGCUAUGGUGGUGGAGGUGGUUAUGGUGGUGGUAGGGACCGUGGAUACGGUGGCGGAGGUGGUGAUGGUGGUUCCCGUUACUCACGUGGCAGCGGCGGUGGCGGUGGUGGUGGAAACUGGAGAGAGUAGUUUUGUAAGCUAAGUCUCGUGAUGAAGUUUUUAUGGUUAAUUAUGUUUAGUUGAGAUUUUAGAUGGUGGGAUCUAGUAGUCUCUGUUAUGGUAUCUGUUUUGUUAUGGCUUUCUGGUUCUUGUUCGUGUACCUCUCUGAAUCUGGUUGUUGUGUAUAAACGAUCGAUUGAAAGGAUAGUGAGAUUUUAGUUGACGACUAAUUUCUUCCGAAUUUUGUUAGUAUGUCUAUUUUCGUAGUUACUUUAGAUCAUGAACAUCAGAUUAGUAAUUUUAAUAUUAAUGAUUAAAAAUAAGUUAAUUAAACAAAGGAGGCUAGAAAGCAUAUUAAAUAUGUAUUUGAGAAUUCUUCGGAGUUUAAGGAUUUAAAGGGACUUAUGUCAAAAUGCAGCACCAUGUGUUAAUCAUAAACAUAGAUGAAUAUCUAUAAAAUGACACUGAUUAUGGAGAUGAGAGAACAACUUCAUAAUGGACGGAAGAGGCCCAUUGUUGCUCGAUGAGACAUAUAUAGAUGUGGUGAAGAUUGAAGAUGUUGAUUCGGUUCCUAUCUCUAUCGUGUUUUAGAUAUCUCUAUCAACACCAAAUGAGAAUGUAAACUGUACAAUUUUCGACGUCGUCCUUAGAAUUGUUUGUGAAGUCGGCAAAUAAAUUGUUUCUUUGAUUAAGAAAUAUGGUCUAAAAAUGCUAAAAUCUACUUUUAUUAUAGGCCUUAUGAUGUGAAAUGCAUGAAGUUCUAAUUACAUGUAAUUCAAAUCCUAUUUUUAAUAUUUUCCUGGAUAUUUCCCAACAAAAGAAAUGAAGCAAAAAAGGAAUAGACAUAGUAUCUAGAUUUUGAUAUUUCUAAAGAAGUAAAAUUUAAUUUUAAAAUUUGGAAGACUAAAACAUAUACACAGAGAGGAGGAAGCCAUUUCACUUGGAAGAAGGAGAUCCUAAAUGUUUUGAAAUAUCUCACUCAUGUGUCCAACAUCCUGUUGUCAACUAACACGAACAUCCGGAAUCCAAUCGAAUUUGUCUUCCAAAUUUUUCAACUCUAGCUAAAUGUCGCUGUUACGAGACACUAGCUUAGCAUAUAUUGAUAGUCGUUGUAAUCUCUAACUGAUAGCUAUCUGUUAGUUACAAAAUGAUUCAUGUAUGUUAGUUAGUAGAGCCUUUGUAAUCAAUAGUUGAAAAAUAUAGAAAUCCAUUGUAAUAUGAGUGUGUAUCUUUUACAAUAAAGCAAGAUGAAUGCUCUUCAACAUGGUGUCACUAGCGAUCAGAACCUAAUCUUCGUCUUUGUUCCAACAAAAUCUUUUUGCUUCCACAUCCUCUGUAAUUCUGUCCUCGAAUAUCAUCAUCAUCAUUCAACUCAUCCAAUCAAGAAUUCAAUAUUUAAGAUUGUUGGAUAUUGGACUCCCUUUCUAUGUGGAUAAAUGUUCAAAUAUGGUUGUCCAUUUGUCUCACUUAUUCAAGUGGAGAGGAGUUUGAUUAUGGUUGUCAAAAGAGAAAGAUUAUUUUGAGAAAAAAAAUAGCCACCAAAAGAGAAAAGAGAAGAGUAAACUCAAUUCCCGAGUUUGUCAAACCAAUCUUAGUAACACAUCGAUUGCGUAUUCGUUAACCGUUGGAUCAUACUGAUUUUUGGACAACAAGUUCACAACAUAGAGGUCUUCUAUUUCAAUUGGCGGAUCGACGACACAACGUCCGAAGAGGGAGGAUAGUGCUCGCACAAUAGCUUUGUUAUUUUGGCUGGUUGUAGGUAUAACUUAUGCAUCAUUUUGAGACAAUCUUGUACCUUUAUAUGAUUAUAGUUGAGGUGUUUCUUUGAUCUGGACGUCUCGUGGUUUUUAUUCUUGCAUUGAUGGAUUUUUCACGUUAAAAUAUCGGUGUUCUUUACGAGCUUUUUUGGGAUCCAAUUUGCUUCCAUAUAUUUGUUGUUGCUCCUCACGGGUUCUUGCGAGUUGAGGGAAUUUUAUAUUCGCUGCAUAUUGCUUGUUAUCGUGUUUAUGUGUUUUUUCAUAUCAGAGUGGUAUAAGAGCUCUUGGUUAAAAGACUAUUUGACUUGUUUGAAGAAUGAAGACAAAUAUGAAUAUAAAGAUGGUACGCUUAAAUGGUACUACUUACCAUUUGUGGAAAGGAAAGAUGAAAAAUUUGUUAUUUGUGAAGAACACACAUCUUCCUAUUUUUUUGUUCUAAAAAGCCAAAUGGUAAAUCUACGGAAGAAUGAGAUUUUGAACAUCAACGAGUAUGUAGUUUUGUUAGACAAUAUGUAGAAGAUAAUGUUUAUAAUCAUAAAGCUAAUGAGACAAAUGCAAAAACUAUGUGAGAGAAGAUACAAACUUUGUUUGUUUCUAAAUGAGGGAAUAAUAAAUUGUUCUUGCUGAAUAGUUUCAUAAGUUUGAAGUACAAAGAGAAGACGUCUAUUGGGUAUCAAGUUUGAUAAUGAGCUAUUGGAACAAUUUCUAUUGUUAUCUUUACCAGAGUCUUGGGAGACAUUCCAGAUUUCUAUAACUAGUUCAACUUCUAAAGGUGUUAUUUCUUUGGAAACAACGCCAAAAACUUGACAGCGUUUUAACAAGUGUACUGAAUCGUUGUAAUUAAUAAUAAAACGAUAGUACCGAGUGUCGAACUCAAGUAUUGCGUUUUACUAUCAAAUUAUGUUUAAUUACUAAAACUGAACAAAAAAGUUUAUGACUUUAUUGAUAUUAUGUUUGAAACUACCAAGAGUAAUAAAAUUGAACUUUUAUAAUAAGAAAAAUGUCGGGGAUAAGUUUCACUUUGAAUUCAACCUUGGUUUCUAUAUUGACCCUAGUUAAUAAUUUCCUUUAUUUAACUAUUACCAAAUUCUCUUUAUUAUUCUUUAUCUAAUGUCUUAGUGACAUAACCUUUAAUUCCAAAAUAACCUCUAAUUUCUUAGUGGAUUUAAUAUUAGAAUUAACCUUUAUAGUACAAUAAUUCUCUUAUUAAACUAUUACCUUUGCAAAUAAUUCAAUUGGUUUCAUGACCUACAUCUAUCCCUAGACUAUAAUAUCAUGAAUUUCUCAUCUCAAGCAUUCGUAAAGUCCACUUCAAUUUCAAAAUACGAAUCGUAAAAUAAUUUAAAGUCGAUCAAGCAAUAAAAAUCAUUAAGCUCAAAGAUAAGAAAAAUAAUUCAAUAAACUCAUUAUUAUAACUAGAAAUCAAAUCAGACAAAUAAGAGUUUAAUCUUGUUUGACUCAUCCCUAACAAAUAUGAUUUAAUUACGACAAAGAUACAAAAGAUAUAGAUUAAAGAAGAAUUAUAUGAAGGAUUCAUAAAUGAUUCUUGAUGAAACUACUUCAAGGGUGUUAGAACCAGUUGUAUGUGAGUUUCUCUGCUAGGGCAUAAAUCUCCAAACUUCAAAAUAGCAAAAAAAAAAAAAAAUCCUAAAAGUGAGAAAAAUAUAUUUUUAUGUAUUCUGAAGCACGUCAUGCGUUCCAGGCGCGCCUGGACAGAGACAUGAUGUGAAAAUACUGUAGACACGCGCCUCAAGGACAAGCCUUUGCGCUUCAGGAAAUUAAUAUUUGUUGUCUGACGUUUACUGAUUUUUUUAGUCUUUUGAACCUGAAUUUGGUUACGGUGUUUUCAUGAAAGUUAUAACUUAUGAUCUUAUAUUUCAUUUGCACUUAGUUUGACUCCAAUUAUAUAUCUACAACUCCAAAUAUGACUAAAUGAUCCACAUAAGUCAUGUUAGUUUCUCACCAAAAUUCAGCAUUGCACAAAAACAACGAAAUAACACAAAACUAUGAAAAUCUCUAAUUAAUCAAGAAUAUAAGAACAUAAAUAUUUCAUUAUUCAAGAACUAAAAUUAUCAAACUAUAUAAAAUAAAUCCCUAAAUUAACUAAUGAUUAAAAAUAAAUAACUCUGAAACAAAGAAAAAUAUGCAUAUGAUGAAGAAUUAUCAUGCAGUGUCAUGAAUGAGGAGAUGAGAAGGAAGACAUGUGAUUCUUCAUCUCAGUAUGAAGUUCUUUUCACUGAAAAUAGGGGGAUAAGUAAAAGUAGGUAUAAGUCUAGAUACAAAAAUAUGGAGUGUCAUUAUUGUCAUAGAAUACGUCACAUACAGAAGAAUUGUUUUCUGCGUAAAAAGGAGAAUAAAGGCAAGGAAGAUAAGCAGAAACAAAAAGGUCGUGAUGAUGAUCGUGUUAGUAUUGCUACUAGUGGUGAUUUUGUUAUUGUCCAUGUUUAUGAAUCAAUUAAUCUUGUAUCUGAUGAGAGCAUGUGGAUAAUUGAUAGUGGUGCUACACUACAAGUUACAUUGAAUAUGAAGUUCUUCACAUCUUAUACUUCAAGUGACUUUGGAGUCUUGAAUGGGUAAUGAUGGUGUAUCUAAGGUAAUUGGUGUUGGAGAUGUAUGCUUGCAAAUCUAAAUGGGAAUGCAAUUAUUUCUUAAAGGAGUCAAACAUGAUCCAAAUGUUCGCUUCAAUAUGAUCUCUAUGCAUAUGCUUGGUGUUAAAGGAGUCAAGCAUGCUGCCAAUAAACACUUUAUGUUGCCUCAACAUAAGUGGCUAGUUCAUAAUUUGAAGAAAUGUUUAAACAAAAAUGACGAUGAGAUGAAGAUAAAACUUGAAUUGUCAUGAGAAAUAAAAUUUGAAAGGGGAUAAAAAAUACUUUUUGGAAGAGCAAAAUUUUUCACUUUACCUUUAGGAAGCUCACAGUAGUAAUCUUGCAAGUAAGAAAGUGGGUCAGUGGUCCUAAAGGAUUUUCUAGGAGAAAAAGGAGGGACCAUAAUUGGGUUUAAAGGUUGAGUAUUACUAACAUAUGAUGUAGGUAAAUAAUCAUGUAAAGGGUGGUUAGGAGGAAUGGUGUAGGUGGAAUGAGUUCAUAGGAAGGAUAAAAAGGAAAGAUAUCUUCAAAAAAGGUAGUAUUUCUAGAAACAAAUAUCUCUUUGUUUGGAAGGUCAAACAAAAUGUGGACUUUGGUACCAUAUUGAACACCUAGAUAAAUGGUUUUCCUAGAUCUUUUAUCCAAUUUAUUUCUAUGAGCACUUUAGGUUGGAGCAAAACUCAAAUAUCUAAAAACACGCAAAUAAGACAAAUGAGGAGUAGUAUCAUAUAAUGAAGUGAACAACAUGCUUGAUAACAUAACCCCGAAAACAAAGUGAAAUGUGAACAUGAAAAAGGAAAGCACGAGCAAGUCCUAAAAUGUGCUGGUGCUUGCACUCAACAAUUUCAUUUUGUUGGAGCGUAACAACACACAAAUUUUGAUGAAUAAUCCCUUUUGAACUAUAAAAGUCGGUAAGGAUAAACUCAACACCAUUAUCAGUACAAAUAGAUUUUAUAGUAGAAUUAAAAUCAUUCUGAAUUAAAGUAACAAAACUCUUAACAAUAUUAGAGGCUUCAGACUUAAGUUUCAUGAUAAAUAUCCAAGUAAAGCAACUUUUGUCAUCAACCAUAGUUAAAAAAUAUUUAUGACCAAACAUAGAAGGAAUCGAAAAAGGUUACCAUAUAUCCAUAUGAAUCAAAUCAAAGUAGUUAAUAACAAUAGUAUUAAUAUUAGAGAAAAGGUAAACUUUUUUGCUUCACAAAAAAACAAGUGUCACACAGAGUAUAAUAUUUAUUACUGGGAACAAAACGAAAAAUAUUUUGAAUAUAAACAAGUUUUUGAUGAGAAAGAUGCCCAAGUAUUAGAUGUCAAACAUUAAGGGGUUUAUGAUAAUGGGCAAUAAUAUUAGUAUUAACAUGAUGAAUAGCAUGCUUAAAAGGGGAUAAUUGGACAUAAGGGGUAGUGGGAAUGUAAAAACCAUUGAGAAUCUCAACUCCGCCAAUCAUCAUCCUAGAUUGAAUCUUCUGUAUUAGGCAAUAUUUGACUUCAAAUAUAAGGUGAUAAUGUACAUGCAACGCUAUACGAGGAACAUAAAUCAAAUUACAAAAAAGUGAGGUAUAUACAAAACAUCAUUCAAGUAGAAAUCAUCAGAGAAGAAAAUAGUGUUAUCAUAGUUAGCAUAUAUGAAAGAGCCAUUAGGAAAUUUUAAAGAAAUUGAAGGAAUUUUACGCAAUGAUUUGAAAAAUUAUGAAGAGUAGCAAAAAUUAUUGGUAGCUCCCAUGUCUAAUAUCUAAAAACUUAAUUUAGAUGUGCUGCAAGACGAACAAACAAUACCUAAAUCAUUUCCAAGGGAAGUGAUAUGAUUCGCAUGAUAACCUUGUGAAGAAGAAUUGCCCAGAAUGUGCAACAUCAAUAUGUGAAGAAGUAGUAGAAGCAACAGACUUGGUGUCUUCAUCAAUGUCAACAUCAAUAUUAGUAUGAAUGUUUACAGACCCCUUUUGAAGAUGAGCUGGGACACCAUGUUUCUUGAGACAAACAUUCUCAAUAUAACCAAUUUUGAGGCAAAAAGUGCAAGUUUUGGUGCUCCAACCACAAAUAGCAACACCUUGACUGUGAUUAGAGUUCUUGCUUCUUGAAUUGGCAUGACUAGAACCAGAAAAAGUAGCCAACAAUUUUGAAUCUUUCGUUGUUCCAAGAAACUGAUGUUCCUAUUAAAUGAACAUAAAGAUUACUUUGCUGAUGGGAGGAAGGGGAUCAAUCAACAUGAUCUGAGAACGAAAAGAGAAAUAUUGUUUGUUUAAAUCCUUCAAAAAUUGAAUAACGUAAUCACCUUCCUGAUAUUGCUUGAUAGUGGGCAAGAGUAGACAAGAACACUUGAUAGCACAAGAGCACAUAUAUAAGGAGAGGUCGAAAAAUCUCCAAUUCCUGCCAAAGUUUCUUCAAUCGAGUGUAAUAAAUGGUAAUAUUGGCAUCGCCUUGACUGAGAUUGAAAAUUUCCUCUUGAUGUUACAUAUCUUUGAGUUCUUUCCAUAUUUCAGAUGCAGUGUCCGUCCACAUAAUGUUUUGCGUAAUUUUAGGCUCCAAUGAGUGAUUCAUCCACAACAUAACCAUCAUAUUGCAUCUUCCCCAAGAAAGUCAUUGACAAUCGUCACCAAUUGGGUGAGAUAAAGAGCCAUCAAUAAACCCUAAUUUGUUCUUGGAACAGAGAGCAAUAAGUAUCAAUCUCGACUAAGAGUGAUAAUUAUCACUUGAUAAAGUGGGAGACACCAACACAAGGCCAAGAUUAUCAUUAGGAUGCAUAAAGAAGGGAUCCAACAUGUCUUGUUGGUAGUUGUGAAUCGACGCAGUGGUAGGUGGCAAUGUGGGUUGUGGAGGCGACAAAGGUGGUUUGGAUGGAGAAGAUGAAUCUGUCAUAAGGGACAUUGCAGAGAGAAAACAAAAAUUUGAAGGAAAGAAGAAAUAGUCAAAGAUUGGGAAUCUAGCUUACGAUACCAUGUGAAACUAAAUAUACCUCAAAUUUGUUAAUAGAAAAAUUACAAAAAUAAAAAACCUAUUUAUAUAGUAAAAGAAAAAAAAAAUUCUCUCUAAAAAAAGGUAAAACUAAUUCUCACAUAUUAACCGCCCUACUAACUAAUAAGGAGCUAAAACAUAGAGAAUGAAAAUAAACUAAGUUGCAUAAUCUUUAAUAGUAUUGUUGACUCUCUAUGUUCCUAAUAUUAGUAAAAAUCUCCUAUAUGUCUCCAAAUUUAGCAAAGAUAAUCAUGUCAUCUUUGAAUUUUAUUCUAGUAAGUGCUUUGUAAAAUGUCAAGAAUCUAAACAAUUCUCCUCAAAGACUCCAUUGAUGAGGAUGGUCUAUGCUACUUUAGUCACCUCAAGAUUUGAUUAUCAUAGAUUUGCUAGGCUCCAUUGAUGAUGAUGGUUUAUACUACUUUAGUCAUCUCAAGAUUUGAUUAUCAUAGAUUUGCUAGUUCUAUUCUCCGAAAUAAUGUUUUCAGUAUUUUAUGCUUUGAUACUUUUACAUCUCAUGAUUACACAACUUGACACAAUAGGUUAUUGGGAAGUUCUAUGAUAUAUUAAAAAAUUAACAUGAUUUUUUACUAUAAAAAUUAAACAAUCAAUAAUUAAAUGAUAUGUAAAAUUCAUAAUAUCGAUACACAUUCUAUUUUUAAUCUUACCAUAAAACUUGUCUAAAUUUAUAACCGAGUUUCAAUAAUAAUGCAAGAUGUAUGCUCUUCAACUAUACGAUAAAAAAUAAAUUUAUUAAUGAACCAUUUACUUAUUUUUAAUGCAAUAAAAAAAUUAAUUUUAUUAAGUUUUUGUUUUUUCUUUAAUAAACCUACUUAAGUAAUAACUAAAAAUUUGUUUGUUGGAAUAAGCCUUUGUCCUUACUCCGUAUUUCUCUACCUUAGGAUCAUAUUCCACCCAAUUUGUAUAUGUAAUGAAUCUCCACACUAUUUUUCUAUCAACGAUGAAUUAAAAGAAUCUCACAUUCUUUUUACCUAACCCCCUCAUUUAAAAUAUUCUCCCAACUUACCCAAUUUUGAAAAGAAGGAAAUACAGUAAACCAAGAUAGUUGACAAGACAAUGUGAUUAGGGCUUAAAUCUAUUAUUUUUAAAGUAAAAUUGACAAAAGGGCUUCAAUUAUAAACUUUUAUAAGAGUAAAAAAGUCAUGUAAAAAAAAAGAGAGAGAAAAAUAUUAAAAAAAGACUUUAUUAUCACUUUUUGUUUGUUGUUUUAUUAUUGUUUUAUAAAAUUUAAUUUUGUUUUAUUAUUGUUUUAUUAUUGUUGUCUUUGAAUAUAAGAUUUAAUGAAAUUAUAUAAAUUUUAAUUAAUUAAUAUAUUAAAAAAUAUAAUGCUAACACUUGUUUUUUUUUGUAUGCACAGGAUGGGUCUAUUACUGAAUAUCUAUGUGCCUGCCUCAGCGGUUUGACGGUUUAUGAAUCAAAACCUGAAUUUGACUCAAAACUGCAAUUGAUUACAUUGAGAGACCAUUAGAUAACUAUAUAUCUCUCUCUCCUUUUUUUUUUUGAAUUGUACAAUACUGAGCUUUCCUUCUGUUAGUUUAACCUUUAGAUCUUAUGUUUAGAACUUUUAUAAUUCCACAUACUAGAGAAAGGUUAAACUAAUUUCAAAGAGGUUUUUUAUGUACAUGAAUAGACGGAUACAUGAAUCUGAUUAAACAAUUUAUUCUGUUAUUUUCCAUAUACUUUUUUUUUUUGACAAGUUCAAUAUACUUAAAUUAUUAAAUGACAUUUUGAAGUAAUUGAUUUAUUUCUUCUUAAUAUACAAAUAAAAGCAUAGGAUUGCUAAGAAAACACCUUCUAACACAUACUUUUAACAUAUAUAAUCAACGUAAUUGGUUAAGAAUCAUUUGAGUUCUAUUAAAUUAAGUAGCUCCCAUAUAAAUUUAGUAGGAUCAUGUAUAUUUUAAACAAUAAAAUAAAAUAUGUUAUUAAAUGUAAUGCUGACAUUAUUCAUAAAUGAAAACAACGAAUGACUAUUUUUUUCAUGUCAUUUUUUAAAUAUCAGAUAUUUUAUUGUGUAAUUUAGCCAACAUUUUUUUUUGUCUUACAUGCACCUAUUUUUUUGUUGUUGUUGUCUUCCAUGCACCUAUUUUGUUAUCAAUGAACAUUUAACAUUUAGUUCCUUCAUUUUUUAAAUCAGUUUUUAGGUCUCUAUUGACCAAUUAUUGAUAAUUUUUUGUCCCUGUUACUUUUUAUAAUGUGACAUUCUUAUAAAUUUAUUUUUGUUGUUAUUAAUUUUAUAUAUUUAAAAUCAAUUAAUUUUAUUUAUUUAUAAAUAUAUAUUAAACUAUUUAAAUUUUUUUUUUAAAUAUUAAAAUUUACUUAUCUUAUUUAACUUUUUUUAAUAAUUUAAAAUGUUAAAAUAUUUAUAUAAAAUAGAUAAUUUUUGUUAAUUUAAUUUUUAAAUAUUUAAAUAUAAUAUUUCAUAUUUAAAUUUAUUACAUUUUUAAUAUUAUUUCAUAUUUAUCUUAUUCAUAUAUAUCUAAAAUUAAAAUAUUUAAAUAAAAUAUUUAGAUUAUUUUUUUAUUUUAUACAACAAUAAUUUAAAACUUUAAAAUUUUAAUUUUAUUUAUUUAUUCUAUUUUUAGUGUAAAAACUAUUGUUAAUAUAAAUAAAUAAUAUUUUAAAGUUUAAAAUUAUUGAGGGAUAAAUAAAUAAUUUUAAAUAUUUUAAUUUUAGUUUUAGAUAUUUUAUUUUAAAUAAAUUUAUUUUUAAUAUUUAAAUAUAUAAAGGAAAUAAAUAUUAAUAAUAUUAAAAAUGUAAUAAAUUGAAAUAUGAAAUAUUAUAUUAAAAUAUUUAAGAUUAAAAUUUAUCUAUUUUUUAUUAAUAUUUUAAAAUUUUAAAUUAUUAAAAAAAGUUAUAUAAGAUAAAUAAAAUUUAAAUAUUUUAGUAUAUAUAAAUAAAAUGUGCACUCAUGAUAUUUUCUUUCAAAUACAUUUGUGCUUAUAUGAUCUAUUAAGCCGGUUUAACUUAUAGUGUGCUAUCUCUUGUGUUGUACAUGAUAUACAUAAUCACAUAUUACAUAGGUUUCACAAUACACUUAUAUAUACACAGACUAGUUUUUCUUGUUGAUUAAACAAAAUUGAUGUUUAAGAUACACUCAUAUUAAUGUGUUUGUUAUAGUUGGGGAAUAAAUUAGAAAUAAACUCAAUAGAAAUCUCAAAUUCAACUUCUAAUAGCUCAUUUUUUUUAGUCAAAAUAAAAUUUAUCAUUUAUAAGGAUUUAGAAGGGUGUAAUUGACAUUUCCAUCACACUCCCCUUUACUUAAAACCCAAUUGUUAGAAUAAAAAAAAAUUAUAAUAAAUGAAAGAAAGAAAGAGGGAGGGAUGACCGUAUGAUACCAAGUGAGAAAAAAAAGAAGAGAUGAAAGAAGAGAAAACAGGAAACAAGAAUAUUUUAUUAUAUAAAAAAUAUUAAUAACAAAAAUAAGUUAAUGAGAGUCUACAUCAUAAAAAAUAAUAGAAGAUUAAUAAAAUUUAAAAAAAUUAGUUAACAGUAUAUAAAAAAUUGAUUUUAGAAAUAAAGAACUGAAAAUUUAGACAAAAUAAAUAAACGAAAACUAGAUUUAAUUGAGAUAUCGAUUUUUCGGCUUUCACACAUUGGAUUUGCAAAUGAAGGCCCACAUGUUGAAUCUUGAGAUAUAAUAUGAGGGAAAUAUAUGCCUGCACAAUGCCCUUCUAUUUUUUCUGGAUUGUGUUUUGUUUUGAUGCUUUAUUCGUUCUUAGUUUGCAAAAAUUGACUUUUAUACUUUUCAGAUUUUGGGUCUACAAGUUUAGUACAUUACAAAUUAAUAUUUUGCUUCUCAUCUUUUAAUUAAGUUGUUAGAAGAGUAACAAAGAAAAAAUAAGGCCUUGUUUAAGGUUGGAAAACAUAGUAUUUUUAAUUUUUAAAAUGUGUGUUCAUUUUAUUUGAAUAAAAUACUUUUAUAAUGAAACAUUUUUACUAAAAAAAAUAUAAUAUUAGUUAAUGAAAAUAUAUUUUAAAAAUAAUAAAAAUAUUUUUUAACAUGUUCAUUAUUUUAAAAAUUGAUGAGAAUUAUUUCAUUUCAAAAGUUUCUUACUUCUUUAUUAACAAAUAAAAUAAACAUAAAUUUUUUUAAAAAAAAUAUAUUUUCAUAAAGUAAAAAGAAUUUAAUUUCAUUUUUUUUUUGUUUUGACAACUUAAAACUUCUAUUUCUACUUCUUAUUUAAAACUAUUUUGACACACACUCUUCAACUUUUGUUUUUUAAAUAACAAUCUUUUUUUAAAUACUCGAUAUUUUAUUUUUUUGAAUUACAUUAAAAAGUGAGAAUCAAAAACUUAAUUUUUUUAAUCAAAUUCUUGAGUUCUUUACUAUUCUGCUCUUUAACUCAUAUACCUCAACUACCAAAUCAACUUUAAUUCUCUUUUUAAAUCACAAUUGCUGUUACAUCUGUUUGUUACAUAUUAAGAAAAUGAUUUUAAUUUUAUAUUUUUAAAAAGAUUUUAAAGAGAACCUCUUUGAAACAGAACAAAUUAUUUUAUAUUAUUUAUUAGUGUUUUAAAAAGUAAUUUUGACUAUAAGUAAUUUAAAUAUUAUUUGUUAGAUAUAUUUAACAUAAUAAUUUUUUUUAAAAGAUGUCCUCGACAAUAACUUUUAAUAUAAACUACUUAAAAUAAUUUUUUAUUUUUAUCAUUUUUUCAAAUUUUUUUUAAAAAAUUAUUAUGUAAAAAAUUGUAAUAAAAACAUAAAAUACUUACAAUGUUUUUUGUUGUUGUUGAAAUUACUCUAACUUAUUUCUCAUGUGAACUUUUUAAAUUCUACUUUUAAAAAAUUAUAACAAAAUAGUAAAAUAUAUAUAUAUAUAUAUAUAUAUAUAUAUAUAUAUAUAUAUAUAUUAAACUAUAGAAAAGGGUUCAUAAUUUAUUUUCAAUAUACUAUGAUCACAUUUCUAGGGAGACUUGGGGAAUGGGUUGAAGGAUUAAUUGACAAAUAGUAGAAAGAGUAUUAGAAAAUGCAAGAACACCACCAUAACGAAAAGUUGUUCAACCACGGUGCAUUCACCAAAUCAUGCUGAAAAACCAUAACGAUGUGAAAGCUUGGUUUCGUUGCGUCUGAGAUAUCAGAGAAGAUAAAUGUAAUUUUUCAUUAGUUUUUUGGUACAAAAAUUAAGAGUAUUAAAAAUUUAAAAUUAGUUAUAAGUUAGAAUAAGUUACGAAAUUAAUUAUUUUAAUUGAAUAUAUAAACUUCAUUAUAUUUGAUAUUUUAAUAAUUUUUCUCAUUCGAUCAAUAUAAAAGUUAUUCUAUUCACUUUUCAAUGAUUUGAUAUGAAGAUUUUAUAUAUUCUAUCUUACUUUGUGAAAUUAUUUCUUGUUUUUAUUUUUUAAAACAUGUAUUCAUUUUACUUUGAUGAAUUUUUUUUAUAUUCACACUUCAAUGAUUUGAUAUUAAGAUUUUACAUACUUUAUAAAAGCAGACCUUUACCUUGCAAAACUAUUUCUUGUUUUUAUUAUUUAAAAUAUAUAUUCAUUUUACUUUGAUGAAAUACUCUUGAAGUAAAUUAUUGUCGUAGAAAUAAUAUAAAAUACUAGUUAAUAAAGAUAUAUUUUAAAAAUUAAUAAAACUAAAAUGUAAUUUUAAUCUCCUCUAUUCUACCAAAUCUGCAAUUUUAAUCCUCUUAUUUUUUACGCACAAUUUUGAUCCCUUAUUUUUAAAAUUAUUACACAUUUGAAUCUCCUUCUAAAUUUGUUUUCAAAUUUAAUUAUGUGAUAAUUAUUUUAAUUAUGUAUACACGAUGGUUAUGAAAUUACAGUAAUAUAAAUUUUAAAUUAAAUAAUACCACUUUAAUAAUAAAAAAUUAAAUAAGAAAAAAAAUGUCAUUAAUAACAUUAAAUAAAAAAAAUUAAAAAAGAAAAGAUAAAUUCAUAACAGAUCAGUGACAAUAAUUUUAAUAAAAUAAUAUACAACAAAUAUACUCACUAAAUUAAUAUCAAAUAUACAAAAUAAACAAAUAAAAUAAGUUUUUUAAGUAAAAAAAUGAUAUGCAUUCACUGAAAUAGAUAUAACACAUCCAUAAUAAUAUUAAUUCAAAGUCUUUAAAACUUAAAAAAAUUAAAAUAAAAAAAUUGAUGAACAAACUCAGAGUAUCAAUUUUAAUAGUAUAUUAUUAUAAAAUUUCUAUAAAUGUCCCAAAAAUACCGUGAAUACUCAUGUAUGUGUAACAUUAAUGAUACUACACUCAAUGAUUUGAAUAUGUAAUUAAUCAAAACAAAUUUAUUAAUCUAAACUAAAUAAAUAAUACAACUAUAUGGAAAUUUAAUAACGUUGGGAUAUUAUACAGAAAAACAAAACAACUUCGUACGGAGGACCAAAACACAAAACAAAUACUAAAAUUGUAUAUACUAUAUUUAUUACACUACUUUUAUACGAUGAUUAUAUUUAUGAUCAAAUAAUACAAUAAAAGUUGUAUACAUGUAAUAGUUGUUAUUAUAUUGUUUACCAAUAAUUAUUUUUAAUAAAAGUUGCUCAAAUAAAAUGCAUUUCGAAUAAUUUUAUUUAGAAAAUUAUUUAUGAAAUGAUAGUUAAAAGUUGGUCAAAUAAAAUGUAUGUUAAAUAUUUUUAUUUUUUAAAAAUAAAAAUAAAAGUUAAAACAAAUACUUUUUUUUUUUAUUUUGAAAUUUUAAAAAUAAAAACAAAAAUUAUUUUUACAAAUUAAACGAUUUUGUUUGCUUAUUUAAAAAAAAGGACAUUUAUCGAGAGACAACUUCAUGUGAUCUUUUAAAUUGUUUCAUUGUAUUGUAUUAGUGUUAUAACUUUUUUACCAGAUAAGUAGUGUUACAAUUUUUUGUAUCAGAUAAGUUCUUUAAAUUAUAUUGUAUAUAUUAUUAUUAUUAUUAUUAUUAUUAUUAUUAUUAUUAUUAUUUAUUUUAUUUUUUUAUUUUAUUUUUGUUAUUGUUGGACAUUCUCUGUUAUAGAAAUACGCACGAGUGAGGAACGAAUUGGGUCGAUGAUAGACAUGACCCUACUUAUCCUUCCCUCUGACAAUUACAACUCAUUAUAUAUCCCACAAAUACAGGCUACACGUAUACGUUAAUAUACAUUAUAUAUUAUUAAGGUUGUUAGCGUUACAAAAUUAUUUGUAUAAGGGCCCCUUAAUAAGUAUCCAUUUAAAAAAAAAGACAGUUAAAUGUAAUUAAUCCAAUAGGGAAUCCUUUGACACCUGUUGUAAAUAAAAAAAAUUAUUAAAAUAAUAGUGAUAAAUUAUUAAAAUUGGUGGUGAGAAACUGAAGCAUUUCGCUUCUUUCCUCUUCACCUAUAUACCUAUCUUUUCUCAAAUAUGUAUUUAAUUUGAUCUCCAUCUCUUAGAAUUUAUACUAUUAAAAUAAAAUAAAAUUAAUACAACAACUUCUGUGUAUAGAUAAACUACCAAUAUUCGAACACACAACUCUAACACUCUAGUUAGCAACUCAACUACUAAUUGUUAUCAAAUUUUUACAUGUUAAUAUAUGAUAUAAUGUGAUACUAUAUUUUAAUUGUAAAUUAUUUUAAUUAACAUGUGUAUUUUUUAGGAGUAACACGAUGUUUAAACAUAAGAAAUUUAAUGCAUUUUUUCAAGAAGAAAGUCUUCAACAAAGAUGAAAAUCGUAAAAUGGAUAUAUUUUAUUUGAUUGAAUUGUGUUAAGUUCUAAAAACUUGUAUAAGUUGUGUGACUUGUGAAAAUAAUGUGACUUGUGAAAAUUGUAAAACUUGUGAUAAUUGAAAUUAUAACUUUUGCAACUUGUCUGUAUAAAUUGUGUGAAACUAUAAAAAAAACUAUAUAACUUUUAAGAAUUUCAAUUAUAAUAUUUUAAUUAAUAUUUGUCGCUCCGUCUCUCCAGAUAUUUUGUGCAAGAUCCUGGAGACACUUGUAUUACAUGUUCAACCAAUGAUGUUGGCGAUAGAGUACAAGGUUAUUUAGAUUUAUUUCUUUUUGUUUUGCUUCGUAGUCGAUCGAUCUAUGUGUUUAGUACCAUAUUUGUAUUUUUUUUUAUAAAAAUAAAAAUAAAGAUUGGUUUUUUUCUUCAUGUUUCGUAAUUUUUUUUAAGGUGCAUAGAGAAGUAGACUCUUAAAAGGAUUAGUAGGCUCCCUAUUUAUAAAUAUAUUAUUAUUAUUAUUAUUAAAAAAAUUAUAAUUAUUCUUUAGUUUAAAUGUGAAUUAUAUAGGAUUAAUUUAUCUCCUCUUUUAAUAUAAUUUUGGAUGUAGAAGAUUUAUUUUUCUUCCCUCUUAACACAAUUUUGGAUACAGAUUAAUAUUCCACAAUUAAAUGUGCAUACCAAAUUUUUUCAUACUCUAUUACUUUUGAAUUCUCUAAUUUCAACUUGGUGUAAAAAUAAAAAUUGAAUUGACAUUUUAUAAAUUUGUACUUUAUUUGAAAGCUAUUACCUAAUGUCAAAAGAAUUUAUUAGGGUAUGUUAGAUAGUGAUGUUUGAUUCAGAUGCUCCCAAACUCUAUAAUCUUGUUAGAGAUUGUGAUGUGAUACAUAAUCUUUGUUAGAGAUUGUGAUGUGAUACAUAAUCUUUUGUAGAAUUUUACGAUGAACAAUCGAGUUCUUUACUGAUACGAACCAAUUAGUUUUUUUAUGAGUCCUAAGCGAUUAAUGCAAACUUUCAAAAAAUAAUUUUUCUCUAUUCAUUGUCAUAUUUGUUUUUCCCUCGUUUAUGUAUAAAAAGGUCGAAAGAGGGAGAUUAAUAUUAAAUGAUAUCCUUUUAACGUUAAUUCUUUCAAACUCAAUAUUGAUGGUUUUUAUCACAACACAUAUGCUUGUAGAAAACAUGUCAUAUAUCAUAGAGAAGUAUCCUGUUUCUGUUACUGUUAAUGUCACUGUUUAUUUGACAUAAGUAAGAAAUAUACAACAGUUAUGAGAGCGAUAGUUAUAACACUUAAUUUUAACAUGCAUAGUGACAUUUCUAAAGAAGGAAUAGUUACUUAUAAAAUCCAUGUUGCAACUACCUUAAUAAUUAUAAUGGAAAAAAACAAAUAAUAUGUACGGUAAUUCUCAAAAUUUAGUUAUUUUUUAAUUAAUAAUGAAACAUCUUACAACAUAUUAUAUGUGGACCUUAAAAAAAAAAUAGGGCGAGCCGGCGACAAGUAUUAACUAAAAUAUUAUAAUUGAAAUUCUUAAAAGUUAUAUAGUUAUUUUUUAUAGUUUCACACAAUUCAUACACAGUAGACAAGUUGCAAAAGUUUAAAUUUUAAUUAUCACAAGUUUUAUAAUUUUCACAAGUCACACAAUUUUCACAAGUCACAUUAUUUUCACAAGUAACACAACUUAUACAAGUUUUUAGAACUUCCGACAAGUGUUAGAGUUGUGUGUUCGAAUAUUAGGUAGUUUAUCUAUAUGUAAAAGUUGUUGUAUUAAUUUUAUUUUAAUAGUAUAAAGUAUAUCAAAUUAAAAACGUAUUUGAGAGAAGAUAGGUAUAUAGGUGGAGAGGAAAGAAGCAAAAUGCUUCAGUUUCUCACUAUCAAUUUUAAUAAUUUAUCACUAUUAUUUUGAUAAUUUAUUAUUAUUAUUAUUAUUAUUAUAUAUAUAAAAAAAUAAUUAAUAAUAUAUAGUUAUUAUAUAUAUAUAUAUAUAUAUAUAUAUAUAAAUAAUAAAAAAUACAGGGAUACCGUGACACUAUUAUUAUUAACGUUAAUAUCACUGUUUCUGUUAUUGUUAAUGUCACUAUUUCUGUUGACAAGAAUAAGAAUUAUACAACGAUGAGAGUGAUGUUAUUAAUAAUGUUAAUGUCACUGUUUAUGUUAUUGUUAACGUAAUUGUUUCUGUUGACAGGAAUAAGAAUUAUACAACAGUGAUGAGAAGAUAGUUAUAACACUUAGUAGAGAGGAGAGCUGUGACUUACACUGAUAGUGGAAUGUUACGAUGAUUGGUGAUGGUAUUCACUCCACUAUCAUCUCCAUUAAUGUCAGCGUCUCGAAAAAUAAUUUGAUGUCAUUCUACUACUCUUACAACCCCUUCUAUAUUAUCUUUCCAUUUACUUAAAAUACAUGUUGCAACUACCUUAAUCAUUAUAAUGGAAAAAAACAAAUAAUAUGUACGAUAAUUCUCAAAAUUUAAUAUUUUUUUUAAUUAAUAAUGAAUCAUCUUACAAAAUAUUAUGUGGACCUUAAAAUAUUAAUAAUAAUUAAUAAUAUAUAGUUAUUAUUAUUAUUAUUAUAUAAAAAAAUAAUUAAUAAUAUAUAGUUAUUAUAUAUAUAUAUAUAAAAAUACAGAGAUGCCGUGACACUAUUAUUAUUAACGUUAACAUCACUAUUUCUGUUAUUGUUAAUGUCACUGUUUCUGUUGACAGGAGUAAGAAUUAUACAACAGUCAUGAGAGCGAUGUUAUUAAUAAUGUUAAUGUCAGUGUUUCUGUUGACAGGAGUAAAAACUAUACAACAGUGAUGAGAGCGAUAGUUAUAACACUUAAUUUGAUCAUGCAACGUUAUGGGACAUUUCUAAAAAAGGAAUAGUUAUUUAUAGAGAGUUGUGACUUGCACUGAUAAGUGGAAAUAAUUGGUGAUGAUAUUCACUCCACUAUCAUCUCCAUUAACGUUAGUGUCUGUAAAAAUAAUUUGAAAAAAAAAAUAAUAUGUACGAUAAUUCUCAAAAUUUAAUUUAUUUUUUUAAUUAAUAAUGAACAUCUUACGUAGUUGUGAUACAUUUUACUUUUUCUAUACGAAGAUGAUAGGAGUUUAGGAUUCAUAGCAUCUUACAUUUCUUUUAGGAACACUGUCGAGUUAAAAAAUAUCAAGCAAUGGCUCUAGGUACAUACAUCUAUUAUUUUGUAAAUAUUUUUUCUCUCUUUUCUUUUGUAUGCAUACAUAAAAAAUAAAAAAAAGAUAUCGUGUGAAAGCAAGUGUGAACGUGCAUUCGUGCACUCACGAACAUAUAAAUUUCUACAACUAAAAAACUAUACUUUAAACAUUUGUACUAUUAUAAAAAAUUGGUUUUGCUCAAGAUAUAUAUAUAUAUAUAUAUAUAUAUAUAUAUAUAUAUAUAUAUAUAUAUAUAUACCACACUAUGUGGUAAGAGCUAAUCCGGAUGGAUAAGGGAUUUAUUCAAAUAGGACUAAAAAGUCUUUAAAAAAAUUAAGUUGAAAUUACGGCUGACUCAUUUAAGUUAACUCAUUUUGACAGAUCUAACUCUCUCUCUCCACUUUUUGUAGGUCCUACACAAUAAAUUAUAUUAAAAUAAAUUAAUGUUGAAAUAUAGUGAUAUAGAGUUAUUAGUGGGACUUGUUUAUUAAUUUUUUGAGGUGUUAAAUUUGAAAGAUGGAAUACUUAUUAAAGAUUAUUAAAUAAGUCGUGUGUACAUAUAACACUCAUUUAAGCAUCCAAACAUCGAAGUUUCUUACAUCCCAUGUAUCCGUAUCCUCGUCCGUUUUGCAUCCCUAUUUACAAGUCAUAAUACAUUUUUAACAGACUUCUUAAAUAUUGAUCUUUGUCUUGCUUUUACUAGGAUAUUUAGAAUAAAUAAAAAUUGGAUCAUACUGAUUUGUUAAGCAAUCAAAAAUAAAAUAAAAGUAAUAACUAUUUUAUAUAUAAAAAGAAUCUUUUUAAAAUUUCAAAACAUUAAUUAUACAAAUUUCAAAAUAUUAAUUAGUUUUCCUUUAAAUUGUUUAACAAUUAUACUAAAGGCAAUUAUUAGUAUCUUUCAUAAAAAAUUUAAUGAACGAAAUUAUUUAUCCAUCAAAUAGUCAAUCAAGCUUUGCAACGCCCUACAAUAACUACGUUAAUUAAUCAUAGUACUGUCUUGGAUUGGACCAAAAUAUAAACCAACUCUAGCUUAGACAGUAAUCACACAGUUACAUUUCUCGUGAUUAACCAGAGAAAUGAUUUUUUGGGAAGAGGCAUAAGAUAAGCACUAUGUGUUUCUUUGACCAAAUCAUGUUCAUUACAGUAUAAGAGUCAAUUUCCAUCAAAAUUAUAGUAAAUACAAUUUACAGAUCAUUCGGACACCGUAAACUAGCUCUUCAAGUUUAGCUAAUGUAGAGGUAGUUCCAUAGAGAAUACUAAAGAAACCACAAACAAAACUUCUAUAUAAUAUAUGAUAUGCUCUCCACAAGCGAUGUGUGUUGUGUUGCGAUAAAAACCAUCAAUAUUGUGUUUGAAAGAAUUAACGUUAGAAGGAUAUCAUUUAACAUUAAUCUCCCUCUUUCUACAUAAAAAAAUGAUAAAGAUGGCCAUGAAUAGAGAAAAAUUAUUUAUUGAAAGUUUGCAUUAAUUGUUCAGAUCAAAAUUCUGAAAAAACUAAUUGGUUCGGUAAUAAAGUUCUCCCAAAGAUUAUGUAUCACAUAGUAAUAAAGUUCUCCCAAAGAUUAUGUAUCACAUCACAAUCUCUAACCAGAUGCAUAGUGGUUUAUAGAGUUUGGGAGCAUUUGAAGCAAACUGUCUAACAUACAACAAUGAUGAGAGCGAUAAUUAUAACACUUAAUUAUAUCAUAUAUCAUAGAGAAGUUUAUAUUUGUGGUUUCGUAUUCUCUAUGGAACUACCUCUACGUUAGGAACUAGCUUAUGGUUUCCAAAUUGUAUUUACUAUAAUUUUGAUGGAAAUGGACUCUUAUACUGUAAUGAACAUGAAACACAUAGUGUCUAUCUUAUGCCUCUUCCCAAAAAUUCAUUUCUCUUGUUGAUCACGAGAAAUGGAACUGUGUGAUUAAUCACGUUACCGAUUAACAUGAUUCUCUCAUGUUUUAGUAUUGUUGACAUGCCUAUUCUGUAUUUCAAUUAGUUACUUCUCAUUGUCCUUGAUGAUGUUCGUAGAUGAAUGUCUUUAUCUCAUUAUAUCAUUAUAUCCUUUAAGUUUUUGUAAUUUUUCAUUUUAUAUAAAAAAUCAUAAUUUUGGGUCCGUCGGUGCACGUGAGUCUAUUAUUUACUUAUCAAUAACAUGUCAAAAAUGAGAUAUUACUCUUUCAUUUUCUACCCCUAGAUUUUUUUGCCUCUUUUUAAAUACUCGUUCUAUUUUAUAAUGAAUGUCAUUUUAGUAAAAAAAAUUUAUUAUAAAAUUAAUAUUAUUUUUAUUUUUUGAUGUAAUUUUAAUUGUACCAUUCAAUUAUUUCUACAACUUACACUUUUUAUUUUAUAAAAAAGAUUUAAAAUGGAUAGAUAGUGUCCCAAUCUAAAACACAAAAGACGUUAAGUUUUAUUGAACACUUGCCAAUAUUAAAUUUAUUUUAUAUAUAUAUAUAUAUAUAUAUAUAUAAAUAUAUAUAUAUAAUAGUGAAAACAUACCACAAUAAUUAAAAAAAAUCUGAUAAUUUUUUAUUUAUUUAUUUAUAACUUUUAUUUUUGGUGAAAUUUAUUUAUAGUUCUUAAUAUAAAUAAAAUGAAUAAAAGUAGGGAUAGACGGACAAUAGUAGCUAUUAGAUGCUGAGAGUGGUAUUAAUAUGAGCAAAAGAGCGCUAUGUAUUAAUUAUAAAAAGUAGAAGAGGAAAACAGAGUACAUAAUAAGACAACACCAACCGAAGCACAGCUCAGUCCCUGGUGUCAGUUACAACGUCAAAAAACUCAAACGAGUGACAUUGUGGCCUCCGCUUUUGCUAACUACUCUUCUGGAAGUAUUAAAGAGAAUGUUUAUAAUUUGUUUUCAUUCUUAACAAAAUAUCACUAGCUAGCUAUCCUUUAAGUUAAUUUAAACCAUGUCUUAUAAUUUUUUAAAUUUAGAAAAUAUAUAAAUGGUCUCAUGUGAUGGGUUUGGUAUCAAUAAUCUAGAGUGACUUUUAUACACGAUAAUGUAAAUUCUUUUUGGCUUUUUAAAACGGUAGACCAAUACAACAUAUGUCUACUAUGAAUUCGUAUUUUAUAAUCACAAGAAAUUAUAAUGAUAAGUGAUAUUUAUUAGAAGCAAAAGUUUACAACCUUCAUGUAUUUAUUAUUGAGAAUGUAAGUUAAUUAAUGUUGAUUCCAUAAGUUUUAUUUUCCUUUAUUUUUAUUAAACAGAUAUCAUAAUUAAUUGUAAUAUUUACACUAACAAAAAUUAUUAUAUCAUAAUAUCAUUUGAUUUAAUUUAAAAUGCAUCGUUAAUGUAAAUAUUUUUUACUUUGUAAAUCAAAUAUAGUCAAACCAUUAAAAAUAGGUAUAGUUAUUCCUGUUGUCCAUUAAUUUAAUUUCAGGUUACAUUUUAGUCUUUAUUUCUUUUUCUUCCUGAUUUGGUUUUUUAUUUAAUUUUAUUACAAAAAUUCAAAAAUAUAAAAAUAAAAAUAUGAGUUUAUUUGAAUAUUUGGGUUAUAAAAUUGAUGAAGUUUACAGUAUAUUGAAGAUGAUAAUUAAGUUUAUGAGUUUUGUUCAAAAUUUUUGAUGAAUUUUUGUAAGAAAAAGAUAACAUUGUUAACAUUUUAAAAUAUAAAACAUCAAAUUGUUUACUUAAAAUAAAAUAAAAGACCUAAAUGAAGAAAAAAAUAAAAGACUGAAGUAUUAUCUAAAAUUAAAUUAAGAGACUAUACAAUCAAUUAUGUCUUAAAAAUAUUUGAUAUUAACUAUUUUCAAAGUCAUAUAUUUGUGGUUAUCAUUUAUUGAUAUGUAAACCUUUGUAUAAGAGUGUAGUUUCUAUGCAUCAAUAAUGUAAAAUUUGUACACUAUCAAUACAUUAUAGUCAUUCAUUCGUAUUGACGAAUAGUAGGCUAACUAUGGGGUAGCCUUGACUACCUCGCAUUAUUAUUGAGUUGAUAUAAUUUUAUGUUUAGUUGUUUCAUUUGUUUUUUUUUUAAUAAAUUGAUAUCUUUUUAUAUUUAACUACCUCAUUAUUUAUUAAAAAUUAAUAUGCCAAGAUAAUUAAAAAAAAUAUUACUUAAUUAAUAAAUUUAUUUAUCUUAUUUGACUUUUCUAGUUUCUACCAUAAUUACAAAUUAAAUUUUGUCAGCAAUAAAAAUUAUAUAACAAAACUCAAAUAAAAAUUACAAGUCUUUUUCUUUCCCCUUUAUACUUGUCCCUUUUAGGAAACUAUGAUCAGAUUACUAUUGUUUGUUCGGGUGAUUUUAUAAAUAAUUAUAAUUAAAGCUGUAACAAUUAUAAUUGAUUGGAGAUUUCUACAAUACAUAAAAAAUAAUAUAUUUAUAAUAUUAUUAAAAUUAAAUUACCAAUAAUUGAAUGACAUAUCAUCUAUAUACUAAAAUUCGUAACAUAGUCAAUUUUAAUACAUAUACUAUUAAUGCAUACAUAAAAAAAUUAAAAAAGAAAUUAAUAAUACUGAUACACACUCUAUUUUUAAUUGUACAUGAUUGAUUAGUGGUGUAAAAAAAUGUUUUACCAUAUAUAUUAAAUCCUAAUUAUAAUUGUUUAUUAGAAAUAAUUAAAUGAAGUCAACAAAAAAAGAAAUUAAAAAUAAUUUGAAAGAUGUUAUGCGUUUCCGUGGUUUGACCGCUAUCUCUCUCCCGUAAUCCUAAUCCUAAUCCUAAACCAUAUUUUAUUUUGGCCCAUUCCUUGAUAUUGAAUGUUAGUGCCUUUGAUUUCCGCAGCCAUCAUCUGAUUAACAACGGUUGUCUGUGUUCACCACUCCCUCUCUUAUUCCCUCUCUCACUCUCAUAUCACCGAUAACAAGUAACAACCAUGCACAUCCUUUACCAAUUCUAACAAGAAACAGAGCAAGAGAGAGAGAUAGAGAGAGAUAGAGAGAGAAAGAGAGAGAGCGAUCCUGUUAAUUUGUUUCUGUCAGUCUCUCUCUGUGCCACAGUCAAUCAUCAAUUCAUCAUAACUAAGGUUUCAGUUUCACGCAAUCACCUUUUUCCAUCCUAUCCUUCUCUCUCCCCUUAACUGGUAAGGCUAACUCAUUUCAUUACGUCCUUCUUUUACACAUCACCUUAACCCUUUCUUCUUCUUCUUCUUCUUCUUCUUAAAACUACUUAUCAAAUCUAUUCAAUCGUUUUUCAUCUCUUAUAUCUCCCUAUCUCGAUCACUUAUCAAAAAUCAAAUCUACCUUCCUUCAUCAGAUCCUCGACUACCUUCAUAGUACGUAUAAAUAUUUAUAUAUAUAUAUAUAUAUAUAUAUAUAUAUAAACUUGUUAUUUUCAUUUCUCAAUCUCAAAAAACAAUUCAGAAAAUAUGGAUAAUAAUAGGGAAGGUGUUCAGAUCCAACAGAAUCGAAGGUUACCACUACCAGAUUUUCUUCAAAGUGUGAAUCUCAAGUAUGUGAAAUUAGGUUACCAUUACCUAAUCACACACCUUUUAACUCUCUGUUUAAUCCCUCUUAUGUCUGUAAUCAUAAUCCAAGUUUCUCAAAUGAACCCACAAGAUAUUCACCAACUCUGGCUUCACCUAAAGUACAAUCUCGUUAGCGUCAUAGCUUGUUCAACUAUCCUCGUUUUUGGAUCCACCGUUUACAUCAUGACCCGCCCUAGAUCCGUUUAUCUUGUUGAUUUCUCUUGUUACAAACCCCCUUCUAAUCUCAGUGUUAAAUUCACCAAAUUCGUUGAACAUUCCAGACUCAAAGGUGAUUUUGAUGAAUCUUCUUUAGAGUUUCAACGCAAGAUUUUGGAACGUUCUGGUCUUGGUGAAGAAACUUAUCUCCCUGAAGCUAUGCAUCAGAUUCCACCAACACCUUCUAUGGCUUCAGCUAGGGAAGAAGCAGAACAGGUUAUGUAUGGUGCUCUUGAUAAUCUUUUUGCUAAUACAAAGAUUAAGCCAAAAGACAUUGGUAUCCUUGUUGUUAAUUGUAGUUUGUUUAAUCCAACACCUUCACUUUCAGCUAUGAUUGUUAACAAGUAUAAACUUAGGGGUAAUAUAAGAAGUUUCAAUUUGGGUGGUAUGGGUUGUAGUGCUGGUGUUAUAGCUAUUGAUCUUGCUAAAGACAUGCUUCAAGUUCAUAGGAACACUUAUGCUGUUGUUGUUAGUACUGAGAACAUUACUCAAAAUUGGUACUUUGGGAACAAGAAAUCAAUGUUGAUUCCGAAUUGUUUGUUUCGCGUUGGCGGGGCGGCGGUUCUGCUCUCUAACAAAGGAUCUGAUAGAAGAAGAGCAAAGUAUAAGCUUGUUCAUGUUGUGAGAACUCAUAAAGGUGCUGAUGAUAAAGCAUUUAAGUGUGUUUAUCAAGAACAAGAUGAUGUUGGUAAAACAGGUGUGUCUUUGUCAAAAGAUCUUAUGGCUAUUGCUGGUGGUGCUCUUAAAACUAAUAUCACAACUUUGGGUCCUCUUGUUUUGCCAGUGAGUGAGCAACUUUUGUUUUUUACAACAUUAGUUGUUAAGAAGCUUUUUAAUGCAAAAGCUAAGCCUUAUAUACCUGAUUUCAAGCUUGCUUUUGAACAUUUCUGCAUACAUGCUGGUGGAAGAGCUGUGAUUGAUGAACUUGAGAAAAAUUUACAGCUUUUGCCUAUGCAUGUUGAGGCAUCUAGAAUGACUUUGCAUAGGUUUGGGAACACUUCAUCAAGUUCAAUUUGGUAUGAGUUGGCUUAUAUUGAAGCUAAAGGGAGAAUGAGAAAAGGUAACAGAAUUUGGCAGAUUGCAUUUGGAAGUGGUUUCAAGUGUAACAGUGCUGUGUGGCAGGCUAUGAAACAUGUGAGGGCUUCAUCAAAGAGUCCAUGGGAAGAUUGCAUUGAUAGGUACCCUGUUGAGAUUGUUACAUAGUUGGAUUGAUAGUUUUAGAAGUAUGAAUUAAUUAAUUAGAGAAGGGUCAUUUGCACAUUUAUCUUCCAUUUGUUUCAAAAUUUAUUUGGGUCAGUGAUCUCUGCUUUAGAAGUCAGUGUUACUUGGUCCAAAACUAGGUUGCUUGAGUUCUAGUUAUUCAACCAUUAUCUUGGGUAAUUAUUUAUGCAGAGUAGUGUCGAUAUGAUUGAGUAUUUGUUCAUUCAAACUACUAUGCAUUGAAGUAUACUUUUUCUGUCUCAUUAUAAUUAAGUGUUAUGUUCAAAAUAUUUAUCCGUCUUUAAUUGUUACUUCAAAAUACGAAGAUACUCUCUUAAAAAUAAGUAAAAAUGGGUUAAAAAACUGAUAUAUAUAUUUUAUGCAUAAGAGGGCUUAAAACUCCAAACAAAGGAAAAAAAUAACAAUCUAAAAACCUCUCGGAAAGAGAAUACCAGCGCAGGGGGCUAACAAAUCAAAAGAAAUACAAUCAAAAUAGAGUCAUAAAUGCUUAACAAAUAAGUUUGUGAUAGACCCAAUUUAGUCAAACCAUCAACAACUUGGUUUGUUUCAAGAAGAGUAUGUGUGAAUUUCAAUGUCUCCAAUUGAUUUGCAAGUUUCUUAAUAUCAUAGACAAGGCCAUGACACGGGUGAGAAAAUUAAAAUAUCAAUUUUUUAGACCCACUUUGGGUAGUAUAUUUAUGGUUGGAAGGAAUAAUAUUUAUUGGUUUUUCCAAUAAUACCCUCAUAACCCCCUUAAUUAUUUCACAAAAAAGUGUUUUAGUAGUUUGGUUUGCAGCCACUUUGGAAAACAGAACUUUGUUGGAACUUUAAUGCAUAAAGAUGCACAAUAUUAUGGGGAUAAGAAAAGUCAAGAUGAAUACUCCUAGUAACGCCAAUUCUUCAUUGAAGCAUCAUCAUAAAUUUUCUCCAAUUAAUUAGACCUAUAAAAAAAAGCAAGAAGCUGGUAGAGAAAGUGUAAUAAAAGUAUCUUAUUCCCACGUGUUACGAAUUUCUCAUGAUGCGUUUUACUGCAUUAGUACAAAGCACAUGGCCAGCCUUUGCAAAAAGAAAGUGUUAAAAAGAAAAAAAGUGUUAUAUUCAUUUCUUUGCUUUGCAGCAUUUUGUGCGUUCUACCACACGACUUGUUUGUUUGUAUGCUUUUAAGCCAUACAAAAUGGGGUGUCCUGUUUCUUGUUUGUCAUUUGUGCCUACAUUCGUUGGUCUAAGCUAGAGUUGGUUUAUAUUUUGGUCCAAUCCAAGAUAGUACUAUGAUUAAUUAAUGUAGUUAUUGUAGGGCGUUGCAAAGCUUGAGUGAAUAUUUGAUGGAUAAAUAAUUUCGUUCAUUAAAUUUUUUAUGAAAGAUACUAAUAAUUGCCUUUAGUAUAAUUGUUAAACAAUUUAAAGGAAAACUAAUAUUUUGAAAUUUGUAUAAUUAAUGUUUUGAAAUUUUAAAAAGAUUUUUUUAUAUAUAUAAGAUAAUAAUUAUUUUUAUUUUAUUUUUGAUUGCUUAACAAAUCAGUAUGAUCCAAUUUUUAUUUAUUGUAAAUAUCCUAGUAAAAGCAAGACAAAGAUCAAUAUUUAAGAAGUCUGUUAAAAAAGUAUUAUGACUUGUAAAUAGGGAUGCAAAAUGGACGAGGAUACGGAUACAUGGGAUGUAAGAAACUUCGAUGCUUGGAUGCUUAAGUGAGUCUUAUAUGUACACAUGACUUAUUUAAUAAUUUUUAAUGAUAAUCUUUAAUAAGUAUUCAAUCUUUCAAACUUAACACCUCAAAAAAUUAAUAAAUGAGUCCCAUUAAUAACUCUAUAUCACUAUAUUUCAACAUUAAUUUAUUUUAAUAUAAUUUAUUGUGUAGGACCCACAAAAAAUGAAGAGAGAGUUAGGGAUGUCAAAAUGAGUUAACUUAAAUAGUCGGCCAUAAUUUCAACCUAAAUUUUUUCAAGACUUUUUAGUCCGGUCCGAAUAAACCCGUUACCCAUCCGAUUUAGCUCGUAUGAGUACCGGGUAGCCUGCAACCCACAUAAUCAAUUAAAAAUAAUAAUAUUAAGUCACAUAAUAUAUAUAUAUAAAGUUGAUUCUACUCUAAACAUUUGUACUAUUAUAAAAAAAUUGGUGUUGAUCAUUGUUUAACCCAACAAUGUUCCUAAAAAAAAUGUAAGAUGCUAUGAAUCCUAAACUCUUAUCAUCUUCGUAUAGAGAAAGUAAAAUGGGUCACAAUUAUGUAAGAUGUUUCAUUAUUAAUUAAAGAAAAAGAUUAAAUUUUGAGAAUUACCAUACAUAUUCAUUUGUUUUUUUUUCCAUUAUAAUUAUUAAGGUAGUUGCAACAUGGAUUUUAAGUUACAGUUAAAAAAAACUAAUUAAAAUAUAUACAAUAAUGUUCUUUUAAAUGGAAAGAUAAUAUAGAAGGGGUUGUAGGAGUAGUAGAAUGACUUCAAAUUAGUAGAAUGACUUCAAAUUAAAUUAUUUCUACAGACACUGACGAUUAAUGGAGAUGAUAGUGGAGUGAAUACCAUUACCAAUCAUUGUGGCAUUCCACUAAUCAGUGUAAGUCACAACUCUCUCUAAAUAAUCAUUCCUUUUUUAGAAAUGUCACAUAAUAUUGCAUGUUCAAGUUAAGUGUUCUAGCUAUCACUUCCAUCACCGUUGCAUAAUUCUUACUCCUGUCAACAGAAAGAGUUACAUUAGCGAUAAUAGCCUAAUUUAUCAUCUCUAUGCGUGGCUAUAUGUGUUGAUGCUUAUUUAGGGAAUGACAUCUUAUUAAUGAUCUAAACAUGUAUUUGCGCAUAUAAUAUGCUAUGGAUACAUAUCAAAUAAUUUAACACGUAGCAGUAUGUAACAAAAAUAUUUCUUAUAAAAGUAGUGUAUGACGGUGAGGGAAGAGAGUUAAGAUCCUUUCCAUUUUCUAGUUUUUAUUUAUUUAUUUUAUUGAAGUUUUAUGUGUAUUUGCACACAUUUUUAACAUAUGUGACAUAUAUUACAUAUUAAUUGGAUUUGUUAUACAUAGAAAACUAUAUUAAUUUUAUUUUCUAUUAUUUUUAAGAAAUGAAGAUAAUCUCACCAUGUAAGAAGGGGCGAGCAUACGUGAUAUUUUUGUUUGUUCAUCUUUUUAUAUUUAACAAACGAAUAACAUGUGACUCUAUAUGUGUUAAUAGAAACUCAUUUACAUAUUUAAAUUUAUGAGUAUAUGGAUCUCAACAAAGUUACAGAGGUGGAGAGAGCUCCUCCACUCUCUUGUGUGUUCAUAUUGUCUUGAUUCUUGUUCUCAUUUAUAAGAAAUUUUUUUUAUAUAAAUUUUUUAUUAUGGAUUUGUAUCAUUUCUUUCACUUUUUUCUAUCUCUCUCUUUUUCUUUAUCUCUUUUAAUUUUACUCUCUUUCUUGAAUUUUUUAAUAAAGAGAGAUAGAGAGAAGAAGAGAUUGAUGGAGAAAAAAUGAAGAAGAUAAUUUAAGUCCAUUUUUUAUUUGUCCCACUUUAAUUAAAAAAUAAAAAUAUAGAAAAAAUGAAACACAAAUAUAAAACUUCAAAAUACUCAUUUGAUCUACAAUAAUUAUUAUAUUAGAUCAUUUUAUGAAGUUAAGGAGAAAAUAAAAUUAAUAACAAUUUUAUCAAAUUAACUUUAUUAUUCAUUGGUAUUUCACGUUAUCAUAAAUAUAAAGUAAAGAAUAAAUGAGUCAGUUAUUAUGAUAUAGAUGUAUCAUCAUGCAUUUAAAAUUAUGUUAACCAGUUUAGUUGAACCCGUACGCUGCAUAAGCUAGAAAAAUAAUUAUUUAAUUGAAAUAUGUUAAUGUGAAAGUAUAUGUUAAAAAGAUAAUGUGGCCUGACACAAAAUUUCUUUUAUGUGGUUUCAAUAAAAUUAGCUUCUUUAAACGCUCUAAUUUGACUGAAGUUUGAGUAAUUUUCUCCGGGUUUAAAGCUGUUAUUCAAUUAGACUGCAAACAAGUUAUUAAUCAAUCUAACACUAAAGUCUUUGUUGACAUAAUUCAUCAUUAUUAUAUCUCCAUUCAACAUCUCCAACAUGUUUUUGUAUAAAUUAUUGUUCGAUCUUAUUUAUUCUGAAAACUGACAAGUUGAAGCAGUGCAUAUUGAUCAUAAAAAUAAUAAAUGUAUUGACCUCUUCGCACAUAUAACUCAUUAUGCAUAUUUUGAUAUAGUUACCUUGACUUCAUCGUUUCCUCUUUUAGAUAAUAUUAUGUUUAUGGAUAUUGAGAAAGUCAAUUCCCAUAAUUUAAAUUCUUAAUUAGUUUUGCUUUUAUUGGAAAAUAAAAAUAAUUUUAGUAUGAUUGCUAAAAAAAAUAAGUUAAAUGUUCAUAGUAUAAUUAUAACUUGAAUAAAAUUUCACACAUAGACCACACUAUACACAAAGAAAAUCAUCGCGCAACAUAUGAUCCCUCAUUAUUUUUAUACUAUGAUGAUAAAAUAAUAUUUUAUAAAAAUCUUAAAUAUAAGAGAAAAUUAAGUCAACACAAAAGUUGAUGUAUAUGAUUUAAAAUUUGGAAUAAAUAUAUCAAUUUUUGUUGAAUAAACUUUAUUGUAUAUUUAGGACCAAAUGAAAUAUACUUACCUUGGUUUUAAUAUAGAAAAUGGCAUGAAAUUUGUUGUUUUUGUUGUAUUUCUUUUUCCACAAUUUGCUCUCCAUUGAUGCAGUAUUUCGUAUGAUUUUUUACAUAAUUAUUUUAAUUUAUACCGUUAUCAAUUUUUUUUAUCAUCUUUUAAAAAUUUCACUUAUUAAUUAAUAUAUUUCUUUGCACAGAUAAUACAAAUUGAUAAUGAAAAAUCCAUGUACAAUAUCUUUUAAAUUUAGUUGAAAGACUAUAUCUUAUAGAUUCUUAAAUUGCUUGUACAUAUUUUUUUUUUACUGGAAAAAUUAUAUUUAUAUGUUCAACACUAAAAAAUUUACAUUUUCUUUAUUAAUUUUACUUAGUAUAUCUGGGCACUUAUGCAACACCGAUACUCGUAAGAGAUUGUGGCUAUUUUUUUCUUCAAUAUUUUAUUACGAGUAAAGUUGAUAAUUUUAUUAUAUAUUAAUAUAAUAUUCUUUGUAUUUUUGAGUUUAUUUGUUGUUUGUAACCGAUCAUAAUUUUUUAAUUUUAAACAUUUAUUGUAAUUUUAUAGGAUGAAUUGCAUAAUAUAUAUAUAUAUAUAUAUAUAUAUAUAUAAUUGAUUUUAUAUAAUAUUGUUUUAUUUGUAAUUAUAAUAGCGUUUAAACUUUAUAAUUUACAUACAAAUGAGUAGAGGUGAUAUAUUAUACUAAGAAAUUAAAAGAAUGAUAUUAUAUUAUUAGGAGUUAAUUAAUCUAUAUAUAUUAUCAAUAAAAAUAAUUUUUACACUGUUAGUCAAUCCAAAUCGUAAAAUCAUCGAAUAUGUUUUUGAUCUUUAACCUAACUAAUCUGAAGUCAUAUUCAAUAAGUAGUUGUGAGAUGUUAAUAAUAUAAUAUUAUUAUUUUAGAAUCAAAUAUAUAUUAUUCAUUAAAAAAAGGCACAAUAAUAUAUUCGAGGAUUAUGAUAUUUUCAAAAAAUGAUCGAACGUCCACAUCCUAAAAAGUACUACAAAGGAAAGAAGAAAAUUUUAAAUAAUAAAUUAAGCUAAAAUUAUUUUCAUAUGAAUAAUGCAUGAGACAAACUCGUUUAACGGAGUUAGAUCAAUCAUAUUUUAUGAAUACCAUCAUUCUAAGUGUUGAUUUUUAAAAUAAAUUUUUGCUUCAGAUAUUUUUCCAAUGCUUGCAUUUUCACUAUUUAUUAAAGAACUUGCUAGAAAGAUAUAUUAAUAAUUUAGCACAUCCAUCAUUGUGCAUCUCUAUUGUCACUAUUUUUUUAUUUGUUCUUAUCUCUAGAAUAAACUUUUUUCAACCGAUCAAGGAAUAGAUAUGUUAAUAGUUAAAAUGACUAAUAAAAAAAAGUAAACGAAGAGCAUAAUAGAGAGGAAAUAUAGAGUAGCCAAAAAAAAUAGCAACAGAAUUAGAGAAUCGAGUGAUUUUAUUUUUUAUUUUUAGAGAAUCGAUGUUAGGGUGACACGUGGAAGACAUAGACAAAAGAAUCUGUUGGGAAAAAAGGUUAAUUCAAAAUUCCUUGAAUACUAUGGUUUAAAGAAAUUUUUGUCUAGGUAAUGGAUUGCAACUUAAGUUUAAUCGUGCAUUUCCUUGGUUUUUACUUUUUGGUGUAGUUCCAAAUGUUGGCUGAGAUCUAGAGGCUACUAUUAUGCAAUUUCUUGCACAAUACCAUAUAUUAUCAUAUGACUAUUCAACCAUCACCUAGCUAGCUUGUACAAAUAUUGUAUUGUCUCAUUGUUGCUUGUAAAUUGAACCAAUAAGAAGUUUCUUCAGCUAGAAGCAUUAAACACUUAACAAACCUUCAACCUACAAUACAAAUGGUUCUCAUGAAGUAAAAGUGUUCAAUGCUUACAUUUUUGUCAUCUUUUAGCAUCUUCCUGGCUUGGAUUAUUGCUAUGUUCUGUUCGGUGAAGGGAAUUAUUUGGGUGUCCAGAGCUCAAUGCAUUAUCUGGCAGAUCCAGAGUUAAACGCAUCUUUAAAUUUAUCUUUUGUUAGUAAUUUUUAUGAAUUAAAUUGAUUUAUAAAAGAUACAUGUGAAAACUAAAGAAACUAAUAAAGACACGUUCAAAAAUUAAAAUGAUUAAUAAAAUACACAUUUAAUUAAUUUUUUUUUAUAUAAAUGUUGUUUAAUAAUUAAUCUAUCAUAUGAUAAUAUAAUAAUUGACUAUAUAUAACAUAUAACUACUUAUGAAAUUUGGGAGAACCAUAAUAUUUUCCAUCCGCCCUGGCUAACUACUAUACUUUUGUCUAUUCAAUUAACAGUUCUCCGUAUAUUUAUGUUUGAAAUGAUAAUUUAAUGACGUCGAUUUGAUGAGUUAAUUUUUAAGAAAUAUAUUUGAAUUUUUAUUUUUACCUUAGUUAGUCAUUUUCUCAUCCUUAAAGUAUAAAGUAAACAUUCAAUAGAUAUUAUCGAUCUUCGUUAAAAUUCGACUAACUUUAAACAUUGAUACACAUUCAAUAUUGUAGACCGACCAAAUUAUAUUAUUAAAUUUGAUAUUUUGUGUCAAAUCAUUAUUAAUUUUUUUAUAAUUUAAAUAUGUUUUUAAUUUAUUUAAUUGUAUUAUUAUAAUAUAUAAUUUAAAUGUAUCUAUAUAAAGCUAGUUUAUCUAAAACGUAAUGUUGAAUCUAAAAAUAGAAUUUAAAUCUCAUUGAUUUAUCAACUUGUUAGUUUAUUAAAAAAUAAUUUAAAUUAUUUAUUUGAAGAAAUUUAUAUAAAAUAAAUUUUUUUUUUCAUAGACUACCUUCAUCCGAGGAGGUAAUUUUAUUCGAGGCGCAUUAUACACUAAAUGUUGAUAUUAUUCUCGGCAUAAAUCCAGAUCCAAUCUUUAAAUAAACUUUAUAAAUAAAAAAAAAAAGACUAACAAGUUAAUUAAUAAAAAUAUUUGAUACAAACUUAAAUAUAAGUAUUACAUAUUUCAUACAAGACUAAGACAUUUUCUUUAUUAGGUCAGAUUUAUAAAGUCUACCUCGACGAAAGUUAUCACGAAGCUUAUUUGCUAGAGGAAUUUUUUAUAAUUUUAACAGUGAAACUCCAAUAAAAAAAAUAAAAAAUAAAUAAAAAACCUAGUAAAACUAGGUUAUGAUUCAAUUGCUUCAAUGGAUUGUUGUGAUUGAAUUGAACUAUUUUAAGCUAGAAAAUAUAUAAGAAAAUAUAAAUUAAAGAAAAUAAAUAUAUUUAAUCUAAAUUUUGAAUUACAUGUAUCAACUUUUUUUAAUCAUUUUUUGUUAUUUGACUAUUGUUUUUUUUUUUUGCUUAUACCACUUGUAUUAAAUAUAUAUUUGGUCAAAUAUACAUACAUAUUAUUAUAUUUAUUAUUCUUCUAUUUUCAAAAACUUCUCUCUGCAGAUCAAAUUUCAUAUUACUUUAAGAAAUUUAAAGGCCAUGCACACAAAACAAUCAACAUUGGAAAAGCAAUACGAUCAUAUGCAUGAUAAAUAAUAAUAAAAUACGGUCUCACAUGCCUAUAUAUAAUUUCCAUGUUCAAGCAAUAAAUUCGUUAUUAAAUAAUAUUGUAACUAUCGCGUACGUAUCUUUCACUAUGGUUAUAACUUAUAAAUAAUACUCAUUAAUCUUCUUCAACGAUGCCACAGUAAUUCAUAAAAAAAUUAAUCAAAAUUCGAAUAUAAAAAUUGUUAGAUAUUGUAUUGUAUUGGGAGUAUGUUACAAAAUUUAAACAUGAAAAAGGUGAGAAUGAUGAAGAGGAAGAUUGAUUCAUUAAUCCAUCUCCCCAGUCUAUGAACGAAUCACAUUAAACUUUAAAGUCGAUUCGCUGCAUUAAUAUAUAAGUAUUAGAUGCAAAUGAAAAUACCGACAAAAUGCUUUUGAAAUCUUAAAGAAUUGCACAUUCACUCAAAAUAUAUCAAUCAAUGAUAGUUUAUAUAAUAAAAUUUUCUCAGUUACUCUCAUGCACUAGAUUAAAAAAAAAUUAAAAAGAUUUUUGAUAAAAAUUUGAUUCAUAUAAAUAUGAAUUUCACAUCUAUUUUCUUGUCUAGAUUUGUCUUUAUUUAUAGAAAAAUUCAUAUCAAUUAACAAAAAAAAAACAACUUUUAAAAAAUUAUGUUUAGUUAAUUGUGAACAAGUAUAUACAAAUAACUGACUAAAUUGAAGACGGGUUGAUGUGGUGGUUUUGCUUCUUGUCGUCUUGCACGUAGAGGUCCAAGGUUCAAACCUCUACGGGUGCAAGACAAAAUCUAAAGGACACAACCACUCUUAGGUAAGAAAUCACAUCACGUAAUUCAGUGUUAUAUGAAGGUAUGUUGGCAUUGAUAACAUAUUUGAAGCUUUAAUUAAUUCUUCGUAUAUUUUAAAUUUUAUAUUAAACUUAUUUCAUUCCACGUGUAAUUGUAAGUUGAAGGGUGUUUCUCUUCAUAAAUUAUUAUAUCUCUUAUUUAUAUGAAACUUGGAUUUUUUUCAAUAAAAUAUGAUAUUUAUCCAAGAGAUGUGAGAAUUAAGAGUGAUAAUGAGUUUUAAUUAAAAACGAAUUUUCGAAAGAAUUUCAUUAUAUAUUCUAACUUUAACAAUCUAGAAUCAGUGAUUAUAUAUUUCUCAAUUGAACUCCAAAUUAUCAAAAUACAUUUUGUUAAAAAUUGAAUGAUAAAAAAAUUAAUCAGUCACGCCACUUGAUAUAUUUUGGGUACAUUCAACACUAGGCAUCUGAUAUUCACACUUUAAUUCAAUGAGGUGGGCAAUGAAGUAACAAUGUCAAUUUAUAAUAAAUUGGGGGUUUGAAUUGUCAAUGUACCUAUUUAAAAAUUCAUGAAAAAGUCUCAAGAUUUAACUCAAGAAUGAUCUUGGUUAAGAAAACAGAAAACGGAGAACGUUCUUGGUUUUUACUAGAAAACGGAGAAUCUUCUUGGUUAGCUUAAAAAACAGAAAUUCAGUUUAUGUUUUAUUUUAGUUAAUCAAUUAAGCUUAAUAAAUAAAAAGAUAAGAGAAGGAAAACCACACAAAAAUAUAUUCUAGUUCACUUAACUCGGGCUACGUCCAGUCCUCACAACUGUGAGAUUUUCCACUAAGUGUUUAAAACAAAGAACUUUCUUGGUUUUACAGCACUUAACUUAGAUCAACCAUGAACUAUUACAAGCUUUAUUUUUUUUCACCCAUAUAGUAAUCAUCUAUUGAUCUUGAUAGGAUUCAUUUCAAUCUAUUCAAACUAUACUUAAACGCUUAUAGUUUGAAUUUUAAAAUAAUGAUGAAAUUAUUUUGAUAGAAUCUGAGAUAUCUCAACUCUUGUUUGAGAUUCGAUUCUUUACAAAGAAUUCAGUAGUAAUAACACAAUGUGAUAUAAAAGUUCAGAACUGAUUCUUCUUUGUGAAAAUGAGAAUUUCAAGUAUGUGAAUGUGAAUGAUUCAUGAGACUUUGAUAACACUUGAACUUCUACAUUUUUCCUGGACAUUUGCCUUUCUUUUAUAGGCGUUUGGAGCAUUUAAUAAUGGUCAAAAGAUCUUUUGAUAGUGCUCUGUCAGUUUUGACCAAAACCAAUAUAUAUGAUUAAAAAUAUUCCAGCCUUUGAACAUUUUGAAUUUGUUUUGUCUGAUGCUGUUACAGACUUUUUGAUCAGUUUGCCUUUGAGUUUAAUGAUCCUUGAAGCUUCUAAUUUAAUCAUUGAUGUUACAGCUUCGAUCUGGAGCCUUGAUUCUGUCCAAAAUAGUUUGGUGAAUGAUUAUAAACUUCUACAGAAGUAAGGAGAUCAAUGCUGAAAUUCUGCAGAAACAGAGAUUGAUUAUCAAUCUGGUUUUGUCAGUUUGAACUUUCUGGAGAUUGAUGAUCAAUCUGGAGAUUCAGUUUUGAUCAUUCUGGAUAUCUUUUUGAUGUCUUGUACAGAUCAAGAUUAAUUAAACUUUCUUGACAGUUUGGUUGAAGAAGAUUCAGAGCGUUUCAACUAGCUUGAUUCAAGACCUUUUAUCUUAAUGAUUCGAAAGCCUUCUUUGACUGAAAUGGAUCAUACUUGUUCCUUGUCAUGUACUGAUGAACUUAGUAUAAAAUUCAUAGGCAAAAGCUUCGUUGAAAUAGUGGAGAUUGAUUGGUUAAGAGGUUGUGACGAUCAUUCUUGAACUUGGAGAUCAUUCUCCGUUUUGUCCAGAAUAUUCUUGUUUCUUUAUCUGUUUAGUUUUUAACUGUUUUCUUUGUUUUGCUUGAUUCCUAUCUUUGAAUUAAUUCACUCAAAAGCGCAAGUUAAAUUAACACAACAUUUUAGAACCAUAAUUAACAUUCUUAAUUAAUCUUUGUUUAUUUUUAUCAAAGCUUUAAUUUGAGAGUUUGUCUUAACAGACAGAUGCAACUUUAAAAGUUUUUCCCUUUUUUUUUAUUGUUGGGUUAAAACAAAAUGUUAGUUAAAAUGAAAAUAUUAAUUAAUAAAACAUGAUAUUGAAUGAGAGAACUAAUGAUAGUUUGUUUAUAUUGAAAUUGAUUCGUAAAAAGUCACGGAGUUCACAUUAAAUAUUUGUUAUUUUGAACGAAAGGGUGGAUUUUUAUAAGAGAUCACAAGAGAACAACGAUGCAUCUUGGAUUUUUAACUUCUACAAUUGGAUUUAUAUUUUCAAGACGUAAAAUAAGAUAAAAAAAAAAAAGCUCUAAAAUCGUACAUUCACCAAAAAAUUUAGUAAUUAAAUCGUUUCUCCUAAAAAUCCAGUACAUAAAUUAACACUACUAAAAAUUAUAUUUUUAAAAUUUUCAGUAGUGUAAUUUGUAUUUUGGAAAUAUAAAGGAUAAAAUUUUUGGUAGUAUAAGUUGCAUAUCGGAAAUUUUUGAAGAGAUGACCCUUCAUUUUUGGAGCAUGUUUGAUAAAUUUUUAUUCUGAUAAUACAACUACUCAAGUCUCUCAGCAAAGACCCACAAAAGCAUCCCAACAAGUCUCUCAACAAACAUCCAAACAAGAAUGUCAACAAACACCCAAACAAGUCUUUCUCCAAGCACCAAACAAACCUUACAGUAACCUAUGAUGAAUGAAGUUAGAAAAUAUUCGGACGAGUUUCCUCCUCUAAUUCAUUCAUAUGUUGAAGACAUAGUUAAUAUUAAAGCGGAUGGAGACGGUGGAUAUCAUGCUAUUGUUGUUUUACUUGGUCAUAGUAAAUAAUAUUAAAGCAUUGUGCGUCAAUAGUUGUAUACGAAGAUUAAUUCCAAAUAUGAUUUGUAUGCUGCAUAAUUCAAGGAACGUUUGUAAGAAGUGACAUACUUUCCUUGUAUAUGAUUUGAGAAAGUAACCCAACAAGAAGUUGAUGAGCAUUCCAUGUAUAGAUUACAUGAUAACAACAAAAUAUAAUCUCGUUUUUGUGAGAUUGAGAAAAAAAAUUCUUUGAUUUUUUUUUUUCUAUUGAGGGGUGCACACAAUGGAGAUCUAUCAUGUCAUUGUAUUAUCAACAUUCGUUUUGUUAAUGAAACUCAUUGAAUUCAAGUUAAAUUGAAAUCAAGAUGUCCAUUGCCUCCACUUGCAUGGGAGAUAACAUAUGCAGGACGCCAACAACAUUGUGACUCAUUAGAUUUAGAACAUACAUCGACUUAUAUGUCUUUGGCAGAUGAUUAACACUUUUGUUUUAAAAUUUUAUUUCAUAUAUAUAUAGUUUUCAAUUAGUUAGUUUGUUUCUUCUGCACUUCACAUCGCUUUUUGUAACAUGAUUCAUUCACAUAAUAUACAAAAGAAUAAACCAUUUCAUCUUUUAGCAAAAUAAGUCUAAAGCAAUGUGAAGACAUGCAUCUCAUCUUAAUUUCAUGAUCUAGCCUUUGUAAGUCUAAACUCUGUUGUAUAAGACCACUCAUUAUCUGACAUUGUGUAUACCAAUCACCAUGAGUAGUAUCGGAACUAGCAUCAUGACUAGGACCAGGACCAACAACAUGAAUAGGACUAAGACUAACACCACUAAGAACGUCAAAACAUGUAGGUUCUACAACAACGUAUAGUAUCAUUCGAGGAUGAGAUAUAUGCAAUUAUUGUCGAUCAUGUGCAGACUACACCGUUGCAGAUGAAGUAACCCAUAUGUAAUAAUCCAUUUAUCUAUCUGAGUAAGUAAUACAUAUAUGAUAUCAAUAAAUUUAUCUUAUUUUUUGCCAUUUGAAACAACUUUCAAGACACAUCUAUUAUGUUUAAUUAAAAUAACACACAAUAAUUUAUACAAUUAGUUAGUUUGCUAUAUAUAUACUAAACAAUUUCAAUAUUGAAAUCAUUAUUUUAAAAACUAUUUUUUUCUACAAAUUUUCUUCUCUUUCUCAAUAGUACAUUUGAUCAUUUGACAAUUUUCAGUAAAUCAAAUUAAACUCUAAUGAGUUCUUAACACCAACGAAUCAGUAAAUAAAUUAUUAUCUUAUUUUUUGCCAUUUGAAACAACUUUCAAGACACGUCUAUUAUGUUUAAUUAAAAUAACACACAAUAAUUUAUACAAUUAGUUAGUUUGCUAUAUAUAUACUAAACAAUUUCAAUAUUGAAAUCAUUAUUUUAAAAACUAUUUUUUUCUACAAAUUUUCUUCUCUUUCUCAAUAGUACAUUUGAUCAUUUGACAACUUUCAGUAAAUCAAAUUAAACUCUAAUGAGUUCUUAACACCAAUGAAUCAGUAAAUAAACUAUUUGAAACAAAUUGAGUUCCUAAAAUUGGCGUUGUAAUAAACUAUAUUAUACAUAUAUUAAACUAUAUAUACUAUAUUAUAUUAUACUAUGUAAUAAAAUAAAUUAUUUACUAACAUGUUUAUUUCAUACUCUGGCUGCAGUGUGGUACUCAUAGUCCUUAAGGACAUAAAGAUCGAAAGAACCUAUAAGAAAUAGAGGUUGUUCAGGCUGCUCAUGCUGAUGCAUGUUAUCCUGGUGCCGAUCAUGCUCCUUCUGGUCAUGUUGUAUAUGAUCCUCAAACGCAAAAUUCUGGUGCUCCUCUUGCUCAAACUCAGACCGAAUAUAAUAAUCCUCCUCUUGUUGCAUCUCUCCGUUCAUCUUUCUCCUUUUUUCAACAAUGACUCUCCUAUUAGAUUGUGUAGGAGGUCGAACUCGAAAAUGCUCUACGGAGGCUUUCCAAUAGUUAUAUUUCAAUAUCGGAAAUUUCAAAAAUGAAAUUUUCGGUUGAAAACAACUAUCAGAUAUUUCAAAUUUUUGGCUGAAACUAAAUCUCGAAAAUUUCAAAAUAAAAUUUUCGGUAUUGAAAUAUUACUACCGAAAAUUCCGUUCUUGAAAAUAUUCGGUUAGAGAAAUUUAAAGAAAAAAAAUUACUUUUGCAAAAUUUUUGGAAUGUGAGGGUAUGAUCAAGAUAUGCAAAUUUGUUUUAGUUUUUACCAUUCACUUAUGGGUAUUUUAAUAAGUUAAGAAAUAAAAAUUAUAUUAAAAGAUAAAAAUUAUAAAUGGUGGUAUAAGUCCAAUUGUGGAUACAAAAUCCAAUUUUUUCUAUUAAAAAAGUCUAAUCUUCGAGAAGCCUUUAAAAAUAGAAAUCUCCAAAUCCUUCAUAAUGGCCCAAAUCUGACCCAUAACUAUUGUAUCAGGCCCAAUGGAAGAACCGAGCACCAAAAGACCAAUAGAAGCACCCAUCAUUGUUAACAACUUCCGAUAAAUAAAUAAAAAAAUCGAAAGCAUUAACUUGCUUCUUAAUUUUCAGGGUCAGCUUUGACACUGGAAUUAAUGUAAAAGUGAUGCUGAACAAAUUUGUUUAUUUUUUCUCCCUCAUUCCAUAAUUCAUUAAGAAAAAACCAAUCUAGAUUUUCUAUAGAUAUAGAUAUGACUUGGCUAUUAUAAGAGGUUUGGACUCUCUCAAGUACUUGAGGUCUAUUUAUAAAAGAAAAAAAGAAAAAUAAUUUAAUGGUUAAAUUAUUAAAUACACAUAUUUAAUGGUUAGAUAUUAUAUUCAAGUAAAUAUAAAUAUUUUUUUUAGAUGUAAUUAUUAUUAUUUUUAUGAUACUGAGUUCGCAUCUUUUAUGUUAAAUUAUUGUAACAUCCUGCACAUUGUAUAUUCUAUUUAUUAUUAUUUUUACUAAUAAUUUUAUUAUUUUUAUUUUUAUUGUUGUAAUUCAUAUAUUUAUAUUAAUCCUUUAGAUAUUAUUUAAUCAUAAAUGAUUAUUAGUUAUUCAAGUGAAGUUUAGUUUAGGAAAUUCAUAUUAAUGUGUUUUGUUAUAGUUAAAGAAUGAAUUAAAAGUAAAUCCAAUAAAAAUCUCAAGUUCAACUUCUAGUAACUCAUCUUAUAGUUAAACAAAACUUAUCAUUAGUAAGAAUUUGGAGAGAGUGAUUGACAAUUUCCAUCAUACUCCCUCUUAUUAAAACUCAAUUGUUAGAAAGAAAAAAAAAUAAAUGAAAGAAAGAGGGAGCGAGGUUGUUUUGAAUUGAUCAGAUAUCUCCCAAGCCUAUCCAAAAUGGGCUUUAACUUUCAAUUCCGCAAUCCAUUUACAACUUUUAUAACACCAUAGAAAAAAAAAAAAAAAACUCUCUACACAUAUCGAUUUAUAUGAUUCUCCAUAUACCAAUACUAAUGUGUAUAUGUAUAUAUAUAUAUAUAUAUUAAAUAAAAAAAUAAUUUUUUAAAAAUAUGAAACAAAUACCUUUUAAACCCUAAAAAAUAGUUUUUGGUUUAAAAGAAUAAAUUUUUUAUUGAAACAAACGCACCUAUUAUUAUCUCUCAAACAACUCAGAAUAUUACCUCUAAACAAAUCCUCUCAAACAACUCAGAAUAUUACCUCUCAAACAAACUCAUAUUCAGUAAUAAUAAACAAUUAGGGUUUCUAAAUUUAUAUACUAAUAAUAUAUAUAAAGAUAACAAAUAAAUAGUAUUGGUUUUUAUAAAAUAUAAAGUAACAAAUAAAUAAUAUCGGUUUUUAUAAAAAAAAAAAUAUGUUGUUUUCAUACAUGUUUCUUGGAGUGAGUGCAAUGGAAAUUAUAAGAAGAAAAAAUAGAGAAUGAAAUACAUAUAAAAUAUAUAUAGGCCGGCUUGUCAGGCUUAAUAGGCUUUUUUACAAGCCUGAGCCUGACCUAUUUAUAUAAAUAGGCUUUAAAAACAGCCUGAGCCUGACCUUUUUAUUAAACAGGUCAGGUCAGACCAAGCCAUAAGUAGGUCAGACCAUAAGCCCCUGUCGGACAGCCUAGCCUAUUCCCAUCCAUAAUCUCUAGUCUCUAUGCUUUCUUCACAUAUCAUUGAAGAAAUGAAAAAAGCAUGGGGCCACACUUCUUUUUAUCACUCUUUNNNNNNNNNNAAUUUAGCUCACUUUAAAUUAGAAGAAAAAUACAAUUUCUUGCUUAACUCUUUAGUCCCUAUCUCUCUAGUCAACUUCUCCGCGAACAAGCACAACGUUAAUUUACAGUGAAAUCAUAAUUGAUCUGUAUUUUUAUUUAAUUUUUUUAAAAUUUCAUAUUAUUUUCUUUGAUUUUUCUCAUGUUAAUUUUUGUUCAUUUAGUGUAAAAUCAUCCCACUAUUAACUUAAAUUUAUUUUAAUUUAAAUACAUUUAAUUUUUGUUUACUUAAAUUCACUUUUCAUCUUAUAUUUUCAUCGGUUCACGAUUUCUAAACACGAAAAAUAUAAUUCAACAAUUUUUAUAUUUCUUGAAAAAAAAUUGUUUACUGAAAUUUUUGCUUAUUUUUUUAGACAUGUCUUUUAACGAUAGCAUGUCAAAAAUAUAAAUUUAUCUUAUACUUCAAUUAAAUUUUAAAUAAAUAUUUCAAAUAAAAAAAUACUUCUAUAUAUGAAACUAAAUGUGAAUUGAAUUAGCUUCAGAUUUGAAAUAGGUAAUUUAUAAAUAAAUAUUAUUUUUAAUUAAAUUUUGAAUAAAUCACAAUUUUUACAAAAAUGAAAGUUUAGAAUAUUAUCAGUUUAAUUCAAUUAAAAAAUUUAAUUAAUUAUCAAAUCAUCAAAAUAAUUUAAUAAAAAAUAAAAUUUAUUAUAAUAAAAAUUAUUAAGAAAUAUAAUUUAAUAUUAAAAUAAUAUUUUACUGUUGUAACAUAAAAAAUUAACUGAUUAAUAUUUUAAAUUUAAUUUAUAUUUUUGAUUGAAACUAAAAUAAAAGUAACAACAUCUUAUAUUUGUACCCACAAGAAUGCUAGAGUCGAUGUGAAAGUAGAAAUUCAAUAGUGUAAUGUUAAAUAUAGAUAUUUCAAUGACUUAAUCAUUUGAUGCUCCAAAAAUUUCACUAAUUAAUGAUAUCCAAAAUGUAGAUGGAGUAUUUUGAAUGACUUAAAAAUGAGCAUGAAAUAUCUGAGAAUAUAUAUGGUGUACUUCCACCACUUAGUGGUGUACAGACCUAUCUAUUCAGUAUUUCCCAUAUGGCAUAUGCUACUUUUAAUAAAUAAAUUAAUAAAUAGUACUAACCAACAUCAAGUACAGCUGGUCCUCUGAAAAUCAUGUCCAUUUUGCUUACACCUAACCAGACAUAAUCAUCAUAUCAUUGAAACCAUAUCCAUUCCGAAUUUGGAUUCUCUACAUACGUACACUCAUUAUUCAUUAAGACACAUCGGUGUGUGUUGAAUUUUUAUUAAAUAAUCUAAAAAAAUAUCAAUUUAAAGUUGAAGUAUACAAUUUAAAAUACUAAUUAUUAUUGAAUCUGGAUCGUUUGAUUUUAAUCAAAUGAUCAAAUAAUAUCCGACCAUUUUCCACUAUAUUUGUUUAUGAAGUACACAGAUUUAAGAUUUUGUAGAAUAUGGAGGAAGUUUACGGUAUACCACUUCAGUGUUUGCGUAAUGAUACAAAAAUUGAAGCAAAUUAAAGUUAUGGAGGCAAGAUGACUAGCAAAUUAAUGAUAGUUGAUGUGGCGUUGUCGAACACAUUGUUGCAGCAGCAAUUAACAAUUUGUGUAUUAAUACACAAUUUUUUACUUGUGUAACUUAUACCCCUCAUUUUGAAUCUUAUGUAUCCUUAGAAUUGAGUCUUAACCAUAGAACAUAUUUAACAAGUUUAAUACUGAAUUGGUAUGAACUCACAUCCAUUUUAAUGUCUUUCCUAUUUUAAAAUGUGGUAUGGAUUGGACUCACAUCUAUUUAAGUCAGGUUCAAUAUUGGUCGAUUUGAUUGGUUUGUUACAAUGCAAAAUCUUCUUAAGUCUAGGGCAAAGUCUCAUACCCAAAUAUAAUCUAAAGUGAUAUGGUCUUAUUCUAGUUCACUUGGACUUGCAUGCGACCAUGAUCGCUCAAUGACAAUCCUAUCAUAAUCAUAGUUAGGGGUGGGCAAAGUUCAGUUCUGAACUAGAAUCGUUUGAAAAUUGAACCAAAUUGGUUUUCAGUUUAGAAAAACCAAACUGAACCGGUUUUCAGUUCAAAGAACCGAACCAAACUAGUUUAUAAAAGUAGUGCACCGGUUUAUUAUUUUAAACCGAACCGAACUGGUUUAACUUAAUUUUUUUGUUUAUAUAGGCCAAAAUUUACAUAAUUACCCCUAAUUACUUCUAAAAAAAUCCGGUUCAAGUUUUUUGAAAUAAAAAUCAGUUCGGAUCGGUUUUUUUAACAAAACAGUUCGGUUCUUAAACCAGUUCAGUUAAAAACCAGUUCGGUUUGGUUCGAUUCGGCAGUUUGGUUCAUUUUUUGGUUUUUUUGAACACCCCUAAUCAUAGCCACUAGAUAGCGACCACCUAUCGCAAAGCAAAUAAACAUUUGUUUAGCAUCAAAAGGUACCUCAAUAGUCAUUUAUUGAUUUCUAAUGACCGUCACAAAAAGAUUUCAUAAACUCUAAGCAGAACUCCUAUAUAAAACGACAUCUCUAUGUUAUAAAGAUACACACAAAUUAUGAUCUAAAUUCCUCUCAUACUUUGAUAAAUUUUUUACGGAUUCGUCAGAGUGUGCAUGUACACACCCUUCGAAGAUACAACUAUCCAGGCCAAACUCUGAUAUUCAAUGGCUCUGACACUGAAUAAAAUGAGACAUAAUCCCCUCAUCCAAAAUUGAAUUUAUAAAAAGAAACUAAAAUAUUACAAUAUCAGUAAAAAAAAUUAGAAUAUUGCAAGUGUUUAUUUCAAUACAUUUGUAAACAAAAAUGGAAACUAAGGAAUAUAGAUUAUAAAGUUGUCAAAUUCUAGUUAGGCAAUGAAUUGAUAUAUAGUGUUAUUGUAUAAAAGUUAUACACAUGCAUGUAAUUGGACUUCUACAGAGAUAUUUUGAGAACAUAACAAAAUAAUAUAAUGGUUAGAUGUAAGUUUUUUUAUACUAAUGAUGCAUACCAAUUAUUUUUAUAUAUAAAAGUUGGUACAUAUGAAGUAAAUUUUCCUCUUUAAAAAGUGGUAAUUUGUCAUAAUUUAUUGUAUGAAUGAAAUUGGGUCACCGUAGAUUUUUUUGCAUCAAAGACCACCAUUGAUGAAUGAAUCAAUUAUUAUGAUUAUUAAUGAUAUUAAUUAGUAAACGCAAAUCAUUAUUGUUGUUAAGCAAGUCUUUAAAAUUUUAAAGGUCUCUUAAACUUUUAAAUUUCUUUUUAAUUUAAACUUUUCACUUUCUGUAAAUGCAACAGUUUUUGGUAUUGUUCAACAAAAUAUAACUCACAAAGAAAAUUGUGUGAGUGAAUUAUAACAAAGAGCUUCCAAAUAUGAAUUGGUUUUUCCAUUUAUUAUGAAUUUUAGUAAUUGAUAAUAUGUAAGGAUGUCUCAUACAAUAAUUUAUUUGUGUGUAUUCUUUUUGAUUUGUAUACCAAUUUGUAGAAAUUUUUUAUUAUCUAAUUUUAUGGUUAUCUAUUAAAUACCAAUUCUUUUUAAUGACUAAUAAAUUAAGUGUUUAUCUUUUUUAACUCUAAUACAUGCACAUGAAACAUUAUAACAUUCUUUUUGGAGUAUAUUUGUUAAAAGAUGGUGAUUCAUAUGAUUGUUUUAUAUUAUUUUUUCAAUUAUAUGUGUGUUAUUUUUUGUUGUCGUCGUCGUCUUUUUUCAUUGAACUUAUAUGUUUAUUAAUUUUGUUUGUGUGUUUUAUAAAAAAAUAUUGUAAAACAAUCUUAUUCCAUCUUUUGCCCAUUGUCUAAUUUUAAAUUUAUCAUUUGCGAUUGACAUUUUGGAGUAUUAUUACAAUAUAUUUUAACAAAUGAGCUCAAAUAGUGUAUACUUACAAUAUAAUAGAGCAUCUCUGUUUUGAUUGAAAACUACCAAAAGUUUUUUUUAAAAAAAUGAAUAAUCUUAGUUAGUUACUUGAGUAUAAUCUUCACAAAUCUUAGAUACUUUGCACAAUUAAAAUUUUCAUCAUUAAAGUGAUUAUUUGAAGAAUUUUUUUAAUAAAGCAAUUGUCUUCCGCUUUUAUUUUUUAGGUAUUAUGUAAAUGAAGCUUUUUUUUUUUUUGUGUUUUGUGCAAAAAAGAUGAAAUGAAAAUGUUAUAACUUGAUACGGUAAAGUUCAAGCACAUGAUGAUAAGGUAUUGCAAUUAUAUGAUAAUUUUGUGUAUGAGUUUGACCGUGGCAAAUAACUUUGUGACAAUUACAUUUUUAUUUGAAAUAACUACUUUGAUUGUUACUUACGUGUGCACUCAUAGAUUAUUUUAUUGUGGAUGCAAAGACAAAAAAUGACAAAGAAUUGUAUGAACAUGUAGUAAAUCUUUCAAAAACAUCAAAUGAGUAACUUGAUUUAGAUGUAAAUAAGUAUUUCAUCGAUAUUAUUUUAGUAGUGAUAACAAACAGCUUUGUAUUAUUUUCUACAAGUAUUACAAUUCUUUUAUGUACAACCAAGCAUUUUAGUAUUUGUCGAAGAAAUGCAAAUACAACAUUGAUGAAUUAAAAAAUCUAGACAUUAUGCAUUAUCGAACUAUUUUAAUUUUUAAUUUGUGACAUCUUAUAUUUCAAUUAUAAUACAAAAUAUAAUAUGUCUUCUUAUUAAUUUUCAGUUUCAAUAAAAAGUAAUUUUUUUAUAAAUUAAAAAAUAUAAUUUUUUCCGUACAUCUCAAAGGUCUAUGAUCUAACAAUCAUUAAUAAUUGAUAACAUAACACACAUUCAUACACAAUAUUUAUCACAUUUUCUUUAUUCAUUAAAAUUAAUAAUUUGAUAGAAUUCAUUUGAUUUUCAACCGGUAGAAUAAAGACGAUUUGUUAAAAGUUGUGUGUCAAAUGAUGUUUGCUAACCAUCCUCUUAAAAAAAAUAUCUAAAAGACUAUAAAUAAGUUUUGUCAUAAUAUUAUUAGAUAUGAUUUAGUUGUAUAUGAAGAGGGUAUAUCUUUUUCUGAUAGGAUAACAUCUAUAGUAUGGACCACAUUACAUGUGUGUUUGUAGGGGAUGGGGCCCAAGAGAAGGAUGUUGCAAUCGAACACCAAAAGAAAAACUUAAGUAAAUCAAUUAAAGAAUGACUUCAUUAGUCAAUUAACCAUUUUCAUUUUAUUAUGAUAGCUGGCCACCGAACAUUAUAAUAUGGACCAAAAAGAAAUGCAAUGAAGGUCAUACAUUUUUGCAUACAUUUUUUGGGCUAUUAUUUAUCCAUUUAUUUAAUGCCCAUAUAUGAUUUUUGCUAACAUAGUCCUUGAGUAUUCAAUUUUGGAGUUUCAUGUGCAACACAAAUAAUUAAGUAGAACCGUCUAAAUUGACAUAAAUCAAAUUUCAUUUUCAACUCCUUUUAAUGACUCGAUUUAUUUUACCCUAAUAUUCACAAUAUAACUAGUUAAUUACUUAAGUGUAUGAAUAUUUGGAAGUUUGUCUCUUAACCCAAGGAAAGAUGCAUCUAUUUUUAGAUUUUUGUGAAUUAUGAUAUACACUUUAAUUAAAUUAAGUUGAUAUUAAUUGGAUAUACUCUUUACACCACUAUUACUCAAUUAUAAGCAAAUCCAUUUCAUAGCAACCUUAUGUAUUUAGUAGUAGUAAGGAACAGGGACAAAGUCACGUACAUGCAGCUACUUAUGUUUAGUAGGUACACAAGAGGUUUGAAGAGAAACACAAACACACAAUAAUUAAUGAGUUGGUACCAAAAAAUAAAUACAAUGAAAUUAGUUAGUUUUGUACCUAGAAGAAAAGGGAACAAGCCCAUAUGCUUAAUUAUUACUCGUCUAUCGCAUAAUAAUUGUCACAUUUAAAAAAACAUUUAUUUCAAAAAAAUUAUCAUUUUUAAUUUUUAAUAUAAUUUUAAUUAAUUUUUUUAAUUGUAUAAAUAUUAUAAUUAAUAUAAUUUACAUCACUUUUAAAUUAUUAUUGUCCAUUUUAAUUGUAACGAAAAUACAUUCAAUGUAAUAAAAAAAUAAAUUAAUAAAGUGUAGUAAAUGUAUAAAAUAAAAUAACAAAGUGUAGCAAAGAUACCAUAUGCUCUUUGAGAUUUGAUGGUCCCUCUCGUCCCAGCAAUGGUGACCACAAUAUUCUAUCUUGUCAAACAUAUCGUAUAUAUAGUCCUAGGCCUUUCAUGUCUUUGUUCAUUAUGGUUGUACAAAAACUUUCAUGUGAUAUUGUCUCUAUCCUUCAUUCAUAAAGCCACUUCAAAAUAUGUUAAUUAACGAGGAAUAUCAUUUUCAAGGCUAGUAAUAAAAAAUGGAUUGUUUAAUCAUGUUGUUUUGAUAAGUCGGGUAGUUCAUGUUUCGACUUUAUUUUUUGAAUUAAUUUUUGUAAAGUUAGAAUACUAAUAAUUUGAUCUUAAUUGGGUUGCUAAAAUUGUAUGGUCCCCAAAUGUAUAUAUGAAUUAAUAAUAGGAAUCUAAAUAUCAUAAAGGGGUGACUAUAUAUGUUCUUUUUAUAAAGGCUUAUAUAUCUCAUUUGCUUGCAAUAGAUACCAAUGCAUCAUAUUCCUAUUUGUUUGUAAUAGCUAUCAAGGCCUAUAUAAAGAAUUGAGUGCAUUGGUUUCAUUUUUUGACGAUAUAUUUAUUUUUAAAAUUAAUUUUAAUUUUAGGUAAGAAUUUGAAGUUUUUGUCUCUAAAUUGAUAUUUUUUUUGUUUUAAAAUAUAUAAUUAAUAUCACUAUAAUUAAUUUACAAAAUUAUAAGAUAUUAAGUUCGAAUCCAGAACGUAAUAUCAAAUUUAACAAUUGUCAAUUGAAUUAAAAAUUUAAGAUUCUGAAUUAAUUUUUAUCAUCAAAUUUAUUGAUAAACUCAAUUUUACAUGAAAGUAUCUAAACAUAAAACACUUUAUAAAAAUAAUUUGUAUCACUGCAUAAUCAAAUACACACUAAUAACUUAUUAAAAUAUUAAAGAUGUUAUGAAUAUUAGGCUUACUACACAUUCGUGGAUGUAAAUUUACUUUUGUCCUAUAAAUAAGGUUCACAUUGUAAUAAAAUACAUACAAAAAUAUAAUAAUACUAUUAGCUAUCUCUUCUUCUCUUUUUUCUCCUCCUCUCCUUUAUCUCUAUUCUCCAUUGAAUGUAUAUUUUCAUAACUUUUUUAUGUUAAUCUUUUAAAUAUAUCAUAUUUAUUUACUCCAUAUAAAUUCUGAAAGAAUUCAAUAUUCAUGCAUUCUAAAGAUUUGCACAAAUGAUUGUUUUAUUUAUUGUUUAGAUUUAUUAUACUCCAUUUCUCCUAAAAUAAUUGAGUUAUUUAAUCAUUUCACACAUAUAAAAAAAAUGUAUAAAUGAAAGAAAAAAAAAUAUUACUUUUAACAAAUUAUCUAAUUUGUAUUGAUGCAUUAUCAAUAACAUAAAUGCACAGUAAAAUAUAUUUUAUCGAAAAAUAUGUAAGUAUUAUUAAUGAAAGGGUAAGAUUGGAAAUAAUUGCUGUAAAAAUUAAUAUGAUAAAUUAUUUUCGGACAGAUGGAGUACAGUUUCUGAAAAACAUAAAAAAAAAAAAAAUCAAUAUUGUUUUAUGUGAAUUCCAAAAAAAAAUCAAUAUUUACACAUCUCUAAAUAAUUAUACAAAAAGUUAUUUUAUAUAUUAUUUAAAUAUAUUAUAUAGUUCUUGAACAAUUAAAAAAUUUAAUAUUUAUUCUCGAUGAAUUAUACAAAAAAAUCCAAUAUUCAUACAUACGUAUUGCCUCAUUGAUAUUGUUCUGAGAGUUCUGGCUUUUUUUUUUGCAACAAUCAGUUUAAAUUGAUCAAAUGCCAUUUACAAGCAAGCCUAUACUUAGUAUUCCAAUCAUAUAAUUAGUAACUCAAUAUUCUUGAUUUGCCGUAAUAUGCUAAUACUGCAGAAUUCAUAAACUUAUUAUUGAUUUCGAAAAAGAUAAUAUAUAUAUAUAUUAUAUUUUAUUCAGUAAAAUAAAAUUUCUAAUUAUUUGAUUUAAUUGGCACCAAAUAAUACAUGAGGUGAGGAUACCGUUGAUUAUUGAUGCGGUAACUUAUUUGAUAAAAUUGCAUCAUUUAAUAGCUUUUAAAAUUGCAUCUUUAUUACAUCCGUUAAUUGAUAAUUUAAUUAUCGUUAAUGGUUACCUGAUUUACAAUUAAUUUCUUAUUUUAUUAUUUUUAAUUCACAAUUAAUUAAAUUUGCUUUCUAUUUCGAUUAUAGUAUAAUAGCUCUUUAAUUAUGAACGAAAAUUUUGAUUGAGUAUUAAGUCCGGUUGAUUAAAUUAUUUUAAAUUGAAUUUAAAAUAUUUUUAUUGCAUAUCAAUAUUAAUUACUUUGAUUUUUAUUGCGUAUCAAAAUAUUUUUUUCUCCUAAUUUUCUUUCUUUUCUUUCAUGUCAAUCAUUAAUUUAUAUUUCAUAUCAAUAUUUAAUAUUUCUUUAAUUUGUCUUAUAGAUUUUAUUUUAACAUGUUAGUCUUGUAUAUUUUUUGCACAAAAAUUUAUUGUGAAGUUUAUUUAGUUUGUAUAAGUAUGAUAUAUAUGUUUAUUUUAAAUUUUAAAUUUUUAAUUGAUAAAUUCUAUGAAUUAUCAUUGUGAUUUUCUUAAGUCACCAUUUAUGAAGAUAUUUUUAUAUAGUUCCUCAAGAACUAGGAGUUUAAAGCAUCCGUUAAGAAUUGGGACAAUAAUUUAUGAUAUAGUUCUUGAAGAACUAAAAUUUCGAUAUUGAAGCAUUCAUGUAUAAUUUCUCGAGGAAUGAUUUUCUUGGUCAAUGGUUAUGAAGAUAAUUUGUGAUGUCGUUUUUGAAGAACUAAAGUUUUAAUAUUAAAGUAUGUUGGAUUUCUUUAAGACUUAGCUCAACUAGUAAAUGCAAAUAUUGCUAGGCUAGACGUCUUGUUUUGGGUUUGAACAUGUUGGAUUGUUCAAUAUAUGAUUUCCUUUACCAUCAUUUAGUGGUUGGGUCCUUGAAUAAGUAGACUUUUAUACCCUUGAUUGAAAUAUAUAAAAUCUAUUUUAUCUCAGUAUGAUUUGUAAUAAAGAAAAUUAAGAGGAAAUUAUUGAUGUUCCUUGAAUAUGCUCUUCAAGUAGCAAAAGAUUUACCAAAUACAAAAGACUUGUAGUUGAGUUUCUAAAGAACUACAUUUUAGACCAUGAUUGAAAUCUAUUGAUCUAUUUAAUCUUGGUAUUGAUUUAAAAAUAAUAAUAAUAAGAGAAAAUACAUAUAUAUUUUUUGUCACCCAAAUAUGCUCCCGAAGUAGCAAAAUUUAGAAAAUAUUUUCAAGAAUAUUUUAAAAUAUUUGUCACAUAUCCUUGUAAAUAUGAAGUUAAUAAUUCAUAUUAAAGUUUGUUCUUAGCAAGACUGGUUGGGUUAUCCUGUUCUAUUACGAUGCAAAAAAAAGUCAAAAAUUUCUAUGAGAUGUAUUGAAGAGGCUGAAAUUUUUUCAAUCUAAUAAUUUUUGUGCAUCACUAGUUCCCACAAGAAGUUGAUAGUUUGAGAAAAUGAAUCUCACACAUUUCUAGAAUGUAUAUAACGUGAUAUUUGUGAGCUAAUACAUUAAUCAUGACAUGUGAACUAAUUAGAUAUUUUAUGACUUUAAUUGAUGCAAAAAGAUAACAUGUAUGUUUAUUGCAACUCACAAGCGAGAAGUUUUUGAAAUUAUUUUCUUAACUAAGUUGACUAAGAUCUCAUUUUCUAAACUUUGCAUAAAGUAUUUAAUAAGUAUCAUAAGCUAAUUGAAAUUGAUAUAGAACAUUUUUUGUGUGCAUAUGUUCAUGAAAAAAAAAAUAAUGGACUUGAAGAUCUAUUCUUUAGAUGUCUAAAGUUAAUUGUAUAAUUGAUAUUUAUGAGAUAAUAACUUAUAAUUCUACUUUGACUAUAUGCAAUUAUGUGUGUUGAGAUAUGAAUUCGUAUAUGUCAACAAGUUACUAUAUGUAAGUAAGUCAACCCCUUAAUUUACAGUUGAGUUUAGGUUAAAAUCCUAAUAUUCCUCAUCUUAGUGAAUUUUUGGAUGUGUUAUGUAUAUUAUAAUUACUCCAAUAUAAUACACUAAGACGAGUUCUAAAAAAUUUGGGAAAAUAUUUUUGAUAUGAAUAUCCAUCUGAAAUAAAGUAUCUUGAGCAAAUAAUUUGGGAUUUGUUUAUAGCCCAUUAGGUUGAUUAUCAAUUGAUGAAUUAAUUUUUUCAAUAUUAUGAAGAGAGAAUAAGCAGCCAAAAUGUGAAUCAAAAGUUCAAAAGAAUUACAUGAAAUCUUAUGUUGAUCCUCGUAUAGUGCAAUGUGAACCAAAAGUUCAAAAUAUAAUUUAUUUGCAAAGUUAAGCAAGACUUAUAUCGACUGCUAAUGCUCUUAUCAAAAUAGAUUCUCAUGUUGGACAAUAUAAUAUUGCAAAUGAGUUUUAAUCGUGUCUGAAACAUGAGAGACCAGUCGACUACAAAGAUAAAAAAUCCUCAAACAAGAAAAGAAGCUAACAUGAAAAACAAAAAAGAUGGCAUAAGUGAGAAAAUUAAAAUUCCAAAAGAGUAAUUCAACAUAAUUAAUUCUCAAUUCAAAAAGAACUGACCAGGUACUUAAAAUUUGUGAAAAUAGAGAAAUCUCAAUACAUUAUGUCAUGAAUUGAAUAUGAUGGAACCUAAAAAGAGUCAACAUUGACAGUGUUGUAUGUGAUCAAUGAUAAUGAUAAUCAUGAACUAAAGUUUAUUAUAGAUUAUAGACAAAGAAAUCAUUUGAAAAUAUAAAGAAACAAUUGAAGUUUAUUAAGCUCACUUUGUAAAACAAAAGUCCUUUGAAUUUGUAGUUCGCACAUUUAAAUAUGUAAAGCUAAUUAGCUAUGGUUGAAUUUUCGCGCGAGAAUGAGGACAUACAUAUUCAUGUGAAGUGAAUUCAAGAACCUUUUCAUAAUUGAUUGAAAUUUUGUAACCAUCAAAGACUCAAUUUAUAUGAAAGAUGUGUUACAACGUAUUUGUAUGACUCAUUUUAUAAUGAUGAUUAUAAGAAACUCCUUGAAGGAUUUAAUGUGAGACAUACAAUUCAAAGUAGGCUUAAAUGCAGUUUGGGUCCUCCUAUUUUAACUAAUUUAUAAUUUUGGUCCCUCUAUUUUUAAUUUUCGUAAUUUUGGUCCCCCUAUUUUAACUAAUUCUCAAUUUUGGUCCCUCUAUUUUUAAUUUUGUAAUUUUGAUCCUUUAUUUUAACUAAUUCAUAAUUUUGGUCUCUCUAUUUUUAGUUUCCAAAUUUUGAUUUCUCUAUUUCUUAAAAUUGAGACAUUUUAUACAUCUAAUGGAUCACAUAUUUUAUUUAAUAAAAUAUAAUGAAUCACAUUUAAAAAAAUAUAUAAUUUUAUAAAAAUAUUAGAUAUUUAUUUAAAAAAUGGUUUUUAAUUAUUUUAAAACUAAUUAAUUCUAAAAAAAGUUUUAUUUAUUAUUUUUUUAAAACUGUUUUUAGAAGAAUUUUUAAUUAUUAUUUUUACUACUAAUAUUUUUAUCAUAUUUAAAUGAAAACAUAAUGUAAAUAAAAAUUUACCUUUACCAUAAAACAUAACUUAAUUUUUUUUUUAUUUUAAAAAAAGCAAGAAUUUUUAAUUAUUAAUUUAAAUAUGGUGGUGGUUAAUUUUUAAUAAUUAAUAAUUUAUGAUUUUUUUAAAUGAUUAAUAAAAUUAAGUUCUGUUUUUUAUUUAAAAAAAAUAUGUUUUCUUAAGAAAAUAUCUUAUUUUUAGUAAAAUUCUGUUUUAUAUAAAAAAUAAAUUUUUAUUUACAUUAUGUUUUCUUUUAAAUAUGAUAAAACUAUUAGUAGUGAAAAUAAUAAUUAAAAAUUCGUCUAAAAAAAGUUUUUAAAAUAAUAAAUUUUGAAAUCAAUUUAAAAAAAAUAAUAAAUAGAACUAUUUUUAGAAUUAGUUAGUUUUAAAAUUAUUAAAAACUAUUUUUUAAAUUAGUUAGUUUUAAAAUUAUUAAAAACUAUUUUUUAAAUAACUUUUUAUAAUAAAAAUUAUUUUUUAAAUAAAUAUCUAAUAUUUUUAUAAAAUUAUAUAUUUUUUAAAUGUAAUCCAUUAUAUUUUAUUAAAUAAAAUAUGCGAUCUAUUAGAUUUAUAAAAUGUCUCAAUUUUAAGAAAUAGAGGGACCAAAAUUAUGAAUUAGUUAAGAUAGGGGGGCCAAAAUUACGAAAUUAAAAAUAGAGGAAAAUUGAGAAUCAGUUAAAAUAGAGACCAAAAUUGCGAAUUAUUUAAAAUAGAAAGAUCAAAACUGCAUUUAAGCCUUCAAAUUAUUAAAGAGAUAACUUAAUCAAAAUAAAUAAGUAUCUUUAUGUGUUCAAACCAAUCUAGAUGAACGGUAUGAAUAUUUUCUAAACGAAGAUAUAAAAAUUACAUCAUUUGAAAUAUGGUUCUUUAAAUAAAUAGUUUGAGAUGUAAAAAUAUCAUAUAUAUCACUACAAAUUCAUUGUCAACUACAAAAAAAAAAAUUAAUCUUCAUCAUUUUAAAAAUCAUUGUCUACACAUGGAGAUAAAUAAAUAUAUUUUGCACUAUUUUUUCUUUCACCAUAGUUUUUUCUAUUGAAUUUUAAGAUAAAGUUUUUAAUUAAAGAGUUUCUUACACAUAGGAUAAUAUACAUUUUUCCUUCAUUAGAUUUUUUCACAUUAAAUUUUUACUUGUAAAGUUGAGGAACAUUCAAUAAGAAAUGUUAAAAAUAUUAGUCCCACUAGGUCCACUAAUGAAUGACCAUUUAGUUGUGUCUAUAAGUAUGACUCACAAUGUAAUAAAAAUAAACAAAAAGAUAAUUAUCUGUAAGGCUCAUAAAAUAUUGUCAGUAUCAUGCUUUCAGUAGCUAAUAUCUUGACUAUCGUCUCAACCUGCAAAUGGAAAGCAGCAUUCAUUGUGAACAAAGCUGUUCUCUUUUGCCAGUCACCCUUUUUCAGCUCUCCCUUCUCUUAAGCUAACAGACAUUGUGCCAGCUUUAUCACGUUGCAGCUGCACCAACACUGUUAGCUACCAACAAUUCAAUAUUCUUACUGUUUCGCAACUGAAUUCAAUUAAAUACUCUUGUUUUAUUCAAAUAAAGUUUAAGUAAAUUAGAUAUUCUCUUCUUAAAUAAAUUAGAUAUUCAAACUUAUCUAAAUCAAAGAGUUUUAAGGGUUGUCGUAAUUUUAAGACAUAAACUUUUAUAAUGUAUUAGAAUUUUAUGUUUUAAAAUCACGACAACCCUUAAAACUACAGUAAAAAAAUUAACUAAUUUUUCAAUAUGACGGUGAUUAAAUUUUUAAAUAUGUGAUAAAAAUAAACAAUAAGAAUUCAAAUAUUAAUUAAAUAAAUUAGAUUUCGAGGCUCACCAUAAGCAAAGAAAAUUCAAAGGACUUACCAAUUAACUUUUUAGAUUGAUACUAUAAUCAAACAUAACAUAAUCUUUAAAAGUUAUGAAAUGAAUUUUACCAAUUAAAUCAACUUUAUUUAUUGUGAAAUGUAGCACUCUAUUAAGUAGUACAUAACACUUCAGAAUAGGAAUACUUUAUUUUUACAAAGUAGGACAACAAAAGAAUCAUGUUGUCGGAAUUUUGCUUGGUGGUUAGCUAGCUAGGAUCAGCAUUUAACAUAAAGUAUAGUAAAUGCGGUCCAAUAUACCGAACCUAGUUAAAAUUUGAAACAUAAUUGCCAUACACAUUUUGUGAAUUAAUUUGUAUAGUAACUAUGCAAUUAAUAUGGGAAUCUGUUCAAAUUAAUAGAGCUACGAUUUGGUCUCAUUGAACAUAAUUAUGUUUAUAUUUUGACUAUGAGAAACGAGUCAGAUGCUCAUCCAACCCUUAAAACAGUUAUUUUAUUAGAAAUUAGUUUUUAAUAUUAUAUUUUUGAGGGAAAUAUAUUGUUUGAAGCUAAUUUUUAAAAAAUCAACGGGGCACAAUUGAAGUACAACUUGGCAAUGAUAGGUCUAAUUCAAUAUUAUUUUUUUUAAGAAAAACGAAAAACAAAAGGAAUAUGCAAAGAUUUAUAGAGAUUGGGAGAAAUAGUAUAUAUAUUUAUGCUAAUAGCUACUUUUCUUGCUUGGCUAUUUUUGUAGUGUUGGUAGAGUUGUAGAGACAUGCAUUGUCUUUAUGAUUAGUGUCUUUGAGAAUCAAUUUGCCCAUCCUUUUUUUUUUUUUCAUUUUUUUUUAAUUCAAAAAUAAACAAUGAAGAGAUAAAAAUGUUUUGAAAAAGUUUUUUUCUUCUUCAAGAUAUCAUGUUUAAUUAAAAAAAGAAAAAAAGAUUGUAUGUAAUCUUGCUUACUAUUCAGGGUUUUGACUUAUGACUUUUAUCUUUGGUUCACAUUUCAUUUAAAAGAGAAUUAUAGCUGGAUUCACUUAUUUGGUUAGUAUUUUAGCUGGAUUCAUGUUUCUUCUUAUCUUAAAAAAAAAAUCUUCUAUCAUUAUUUAUACUUUUCAUUUUUGUGUAUUUUUUUUUCUUAGUUUCUUUCUGUGAUGUGGACCAAGGGUGGAUCCAAUGUUAAGGUGUAUAUAUAUGAAAACUCUAAAAUUUGAUAAUUUACAUCGAUAUUGUUAUUUGUUUAAUAUUCUAUCUAUUUUAGAAUUUCUUUUUGCAGUCUAAAAUCUCACGUGAGAUUGCACAGAGGACAAUUGUAAAGUAUAUCUAUAAUUUUAAGUGCAACGCAAUUUUUUGAGUAGGUUGCUUUUGUAGAUAUGAUUCCAACUAUAAAUUAAAUUUUAAUAUUAUGCAUGGAAUUUUGUAGACAUAUAUAGUGUGGUUAUGGAUGCUCAAAUUAACCAAUUAUCAAAGAAAAAUCACAUCUGUAUUCAUAACAAAUUUUAAAAAUAUGGAUAUUAACACAAUAAUUUCGGUCCAUAUACUUUAGACUAGAUUGUCCAUUUUUUUGUAUAUCAUAAAUACAUGAUAGACGAAAUCAUAAAUACUCCUCUGGUACCCUAGCCCCUACAACGAAUUGUCAAUUUCAUAAAACCUUCAAAUCUAGGUCCCAACCCACAUAUGUUAAGGGCCUAAAACACUCUAAGUUAAAGAAAGUCUCUUUCACAUAAGUUCCCCGAGAUAGAAAACCCUUAAAUUUAAAAUUGGCCCAAUUGCCAAAGCUUUUUAUUAAAAAGAUUAUAAAUCUCAUUUUUCAUUGAUUUAAAAAAAUAAAUUAUUUUUGAAAACUGAUAUUGUGUUCGAAAUCGAUUUUAAAAACUUAAAAUCGGUUAUAAAAUUCAAAAAUAGUUAUAAAACUGGUUAUGGAUAAAACUGAUUUUAUAAUCCGUAUUGUAAAAUCAAAUUCAAUUAUAAGAAUUAGUUAUAAAAACUGAUUAUGAUUUAUAAUAAUUUUUAUAUGAAUGUGGAUAUAGUGUUCAUUAACAACUCUAAAUCUGACCAUUAUGGCCACGAAGUCCGAAACAGUUUAUUUUUAAUACCUAUAACAAAAAUUAAAAAAAUAUAAAUUGUAAUUAAGAUGUAUAUUUUAUCUUUUAACUUAAAUUUUAAUUGUGUUUGUCACAACUUUCUUUUAGAGAAAUACAAAUCAAACCAACGAUCCAUUAAAUCAAAAUUUAAUUAAAAUUAAUUAAAUUUAUUUAUUUAUUUAUAUUUGAGUUCAAACUAAAUCAAACAUGUAUUGAUUUAGGCAUAGUUUCCCGUCGUAUAAAUUUGACCAUUGAAUUUGAACAAAACUAUUAUAUUUUAUUUCACAUUAUAUAGAAAGAUUAACUUUUAUUUUCUUACAUAUAAUUUAAAUUUGAACAUUUUAAUUUUAGUCCCUAUAAAAGAAAUAAUACAAUUUUAGUCCUUACAAAAUUAUUUAGCAAAUAAUUUCAGUCCAUGUUAAAAUGAAAAAUGUUUAAUUAUCCUUCAACUUUUAAAUUUUUUGAAUUAUUUUUUGCAAGUAUGUUUAGAAUACUAUAAAAAGUUCCUCCACUAAAAUUUAAAAUUUUUAACUUGGAAUUAAUUAAAUACAAAUUUAGAGACAAAGCUCAAAUCGUGUACGAGACAGUUGUAAAAUGAUCAUUAGUGUCACCAUUAUUAAUAAUCUUUCCUCUUCCCAAUUUUUUUAAAAUAAAAAUAAAAAUGAAUUUUUAAAUAUAAAAAUCUAAAGAUAAAAGUAUAAAAAAUAUAGACCGGUAGAAAUUGAAUUUGGAGGUCAUUUUCUGUAGAGUAAUUUUUUUUUUAUAAUGUUGUAAACAUUCCUACAAAAAUUCAUUCAAAAUAUAUAUUAACUUAAUAAGAAUGACUAAAACUGCAUGCAUUGAUAAUUCUUUAGCGAUUAAAAAUUGAUUUAUCUUUUUACAAAUACUUAAAUGAAAAGGUUAAAAUUUAUAGGGACUAAAAAACAUAUUUAACUUUAAAAAAUGUUGUAUUCAAUUAUUUUUAUUAAUAUAUUAUUUUUUGAAUUGUGGUUUAUAUAAUUUUGUUAUAAAAAUAAUUUUUAUAUAAUUAUUUUAAUAGUAUACAAAUUAGUGUUUAGAAAAGUUUCUUAAUUUUUAAAUCUUUCUUUGGAAUGUUUCGAAGUUUGAAAAAAUUUUGUAAUAGUUCAACUAAAUCGUUUAUUUUUUAAUUAAGAUUUUUGUCUCUUCAAAAUACGAACCAAUAUGUUUAAAUUUUCAAUUUAAUGUCCCUCAAGUAAAAGUUUAAUUUGACACCUAAAAUUCUAAUAUAUAAUAAAAUAUUAUAUUUAUUUAUCUAUUAAAUUUUAAAAAUUUGACACCCUAAGAUUUUAUUUAAACUCAAUCACUAUUUACAUUAUCUAGAUUAAGGUUCUGGAUCCGCACGGAAGUGGAUGAAUAUCUGAGAGGAAACGGCGAGAGACGAAGGGACAGAGGGUGCAGACAUGCAAAGAGAGUAUAGAUGACUUUUCUAUUUGCAGCGGCGGCUGCCAACAGACAUGAACCAUGGUUUCAUUUCAGUUCAUUUUAAUUUUAGGUUUUUUGAACAUAUAAAAAUUAAUUCUCAGAUUUUGGUCUUUUGGAAUUUUGUUAGAAUUAAAAUUUAACUUUAUUUUUUAAAUUAAUUCUCAGUUCACUUUAUUUUUUAAAUUAAUUCUCAGUUCACUUUAUUUUUUAAAAUCAAUAAAAUUAAAAAAAUUUAAUUUUAAGAUAAAAAUUAAUUUUUAACUUUUUUAAACCGAUUUAAUUUUAAAAUAAUUUGAUUUGAUUCAGUUCUCUGAACCAAUUAAAUUUUUGGUUUUUUGCCCACAACUAAUAUUUGCAAUAAGAUUUAAUUACUUAAUAUACUUUGCGGUGAUUUUGAACACAAUUAAAAAAUGUCGGUACAGUGUGACAAAAAGUAGAGGAAGAGUAAGUGACUUCUAGUGAGUGAAUACAUAUUGUUUGGUGAAAGUGUAAGUUGAACAUGUUUGUGCAUUAAAGAAGAGAAGGAAGCCCAUAGCAUAUCCAUCUGAAUUAUAGUUUGUACAUUGUUUUACGUAAUGGAGCAAUAGAUACCACCAAUAGAGUCUCGAGAUUCAAGAACCCUUCUAUGAUACAUUGUAGCCACUAAAAAUAUUUAAUAUGGAGUAGGUGCAUACUUUGCAUGAAUAGGAUUCCCUUGUACAAUUUUGUACAUAGGAUUUGUUGUUCUCUUCCUCAUAUCACAUCUCCCUCCCCUCAAUUAUUAUUUUGGUUCAAUAUAUAUCAAUUAGAUAAGAUAAGUAGGCCUUUCAAUUAUUUUUCAUAUAUAUUUUUACAUGACAAGUGGGACAUUUUUUGAAUUCUUAGUGGGCCUUGAAAGGGGCAAAACAAUUAGCACAUAGAUAAUGUAUCAGCAAUAUAAAAUAAAUAAAACAAAGAAAAUAGUAGACAACCAAUUGAAACUGCCUCAAAACUCUCGUGCUAUUAAUAACAACACGGUGUUACAUUUUGUUUGGAACAAAUAUUAAUUAUGAUUCUAGAUAAAAAUGAUGAAAUAAAAUAAAAAAAUAUAUUAAAUUAUGAGAAAAUUAUUCAAGUAUCUCAAAUGAUAAUAAGAUUUAUAGACAAUAUGUAACAACUAAUUAGUAUAACUAACUAUAAUAAUUAACUAUUGUAUUUAACUUGUAUAACUAAUAAACAAAUACAUCUAACAAAAAAUAUAGUACAUCUUAAGGUAGUGAUAUUAAUUUUCAUUAUUUGUGUAGAAUAGUUUGUUCAAUUAAAAUUUUAAUGGUAAUAAUUAAUUGUUGUGUAGAAUAGUUUGUUCAUACUUAAUAAUAGAUGAGCAUAUCCCUCUAGUUGUAUAGUUUAUGGAGUAAUACAGUUAUCUGAACUGUAAUAUUUAAAUACUAAUUGAACAUGUAAAUCAUAAUUUUAAUUAAUUAAAUAUGUAAAAUGAUGAUUAGGUCGUUAUUAUUAAUAAUAAUUUUACUUUUUCCAUUUUUUUAAAUAGUAGAAAGAUAAUGUGGUCAUUUAACUGUUACAUAUAAAAGUAAAAUUAAUUAAACUCUACGAUAAAAAAAAAAUCACAUAUAUAAGUAAAAUUAAUUAAAUUAAUUCUACGAUAAAAUAAAAAAAAAUAAAAGAAAAUAAAAAAAAAAUCACGUUUGUUCUUCUUGACGUUUUCUUAUCUUUAUUCUUUUGAAUUGGAAUUGGUUCAAUGUUCUAAUGGUAAUUAAACAAAUAUUUGAGAUAGCUAUAGUAAUAUCAUAAUAUUUGCCUAAUUGAUUAUAUAUAAAGGUAACAAGAAGAACAUUAUUUGUUUAUACAGGGUGUAUGGAUUGGGACACGCCUAGAUAAUCAAUGCAUUAUUAAGGGUUAGUCAAAUUAAGAGAAUAUAGGAUGGAAAGCACUUGAGAAACUAGAAAAAAGACACACUAGAAAAACAAAUUAAUAGGGGGACAUAGUAGUUUUCUAUUGAUGUAUUCUACAAAGAAAGUGAUGGGAGAAAUGAGAUGUAGAAAGCAUGACCCAUUUUCCUUUUGCUAUUAUUGUAUUGGGACAUUUUUAAGUGUAUGCUAUUAGUACAUAUAUAGAAAGUGAGGGACCUAUAUAAGAGACUCUAACAAAAAAUAAAGGUAAAGAGAUAUAUAGAGGGAGGGAAGGUCUAUGUGAGACUUGAGAGAGGGCCCAUUAUGUGAUAAUUAGUGGAAGUAGCCUUCAUCCUCUCUGGAAUUGAUCCUACAACUUUGAAAUUAUAAUUUGGUUGCCCCUUACAAAUCCAAAUAUUGCAUCAAGCCUCAAAUGACUGCAUAAAUUUGCAAGCAAAGCAUGAUUUAGACAAAUGAAUAAUAUUUAAUGUCAAGUGGUUGCAUAGAAAGAAAUCAAGUAGAUUCAUGGAUGGGUCGCUUAACUAGGAAUUCGCAUUCGCAUUAUGCAUUUACAUAUUUAGAAUAUUGAUGGUACGUCUAUUAAAUAAUUGUAGAUCUUAAUUUUAUAAUUUAAAAUAUUAAGUUUAAAUUAUUCAAUUUUAAUCGAACUAUAUCACAUUCAUUUAUAAUAAGAAAAUAAAUUCACAUUCAUUUUAUUAUAUUAUAAAAAAAUUAUAAAUAAAAAAUUGAGACUCUGACUGACUAUUGGAUUUUGCUUGCAUAACUCGAUAACCAACCUUAGUUAUCAAUAUAACCAAUUAGUUCUAAGAAAAAAAUAUCUGAUUUCCUUAAUCUAAUAUGUCCUAUUACAAUCACAAAUAACUAAUUAAAACAAAAAAUCUAUUCAUGUUUAGCAACUAAGUAGGAUGUUAAUUCCUAACCUAUUUAUGAUUACCCGACACAUUCUAACAGACUUUUUUUAAAUAAAAAAAACCAUCAAUCCCUUUCUUUAAAGUGUAACCUUACUUUUUUUGUUGAUUAAUCAAUUACAUGCAACUCGUUGAAAGGAAUAAUAGACUUUUACCAAUUAUUCAAUAUUAGUGUAUCUAAACACAACCUUUAUUAUCAGUAUCUAUAGCUAACUUUCUUCCAUUCAACUUAUCUUUAAGGUCAUACAUAAGCGGAUGAAAUGAAAAGACACAAAUUUUACUUUAAUUUUAAUAUAGAAGAAAAUUUACUUUAUUAUAUUGGUGAACAUGAUUGUACAAUUCAAUAUAUUAUUUUAAAAAGUUUCAGAAUUUUUACAGUACAUAAGUCAAUUUGAUAUAUAUUAAUAUAUUUGUUCAUUAAAGAAUUUAAUUUUAUAAUUAUUUUGCAAAUUGUUUUCUUUUUCUAUAAUAAAUUAUUUCUUUUCUAGGUGUGUGUAGAAAGCUUAAAAACACUGCCGUUUUGGUGAGUUGGAACACGCCCACGUGGCAGUCAUGUCAGUGGGACCUAGAGCCCACGGCCAUGGUUAUGGAUAUACCGGUUGGCACUCUGCCCCACACACUCACUACUCUAAUAAUUCCGGCCACUCCUUCUCACAUUCCGCCCAGUUUUAUUUUAUUCUUUUUUAUUUACAACAACCUUUUUAAACUCAAAUUAAAUAAAUUAUAUCCUUUUUAAAAUUAGUUUUAAAAAUAUUAAAAUUUGACGCAUUUUCAUAUAUAAAAAAAUAUUUGAGGUCUUUUUUAAGUGAAAAAUUUUGUUUUUUAAGGAGGUCUAAAGCGCUUGCUUUGUUGGACCGGCUCUGCUUUUUUUUAACAUAAAAUACCUGUAAUUUAUUUACCUUUUUAUUAUUUAGUACUAGUAUAUAUUCGCAACAACUUCUACUCUCAUCCUUCACAACAUUUCAUUUCCCUCCCUCUCCACGUUAUCAACAUUCUAUUUUCCAUACACAUUGCCCAGUGCGCACUUUAGCACGUAACAAGAUAUUAACAAUAUUAACAAACAACGACAAGUGAAAAAUGUUACACUGUCUCAACACUUCUGCGAAUCUUGGAGGAGGAGCAACCGUUUCGGAUAUGACAGUGUUGGAAAGACAAAGAGCAAGAAGAAAGUGGCAACAUGAACAUGAACAUGAACAUGAACAAGAGCAAGAUUACCAUGGUUACUUUUGCGGAAAUGGAUUCUCUUCUUCACAUCAAAUUAUGAUGGUUAAUGGCUGUGAUUCUGCUCUCGAUGAGGUGGUAGUUAACACUAAGAAAAGAAAAGCUAUGAAUUCAAAGGUGUGAUGAGAUUUUGGAAGUUUUGUUUGUUAAGGUGAUGUUUGGUUGGUUGGUUUUGUGGUUUUAAGCUUUGUUGGUUUUUGUUUAGGUUGUUGUUGUUGCGGAGGAAAGUGAUGAUGAUAACAAAGACAAGAGGAUCAAAGUGAGUGCAGAGGAAGAAGAUGAAUCUAAAAUUACGGAGCAAACAAAGGGACACAAGACUACAAAAUUCAACAAAAACAACAGGGAAAAUUCUGCUCAGACUUCCAAGGAAAAUUCAAAAGUUUCUGAGAAUCAAAAUCAAAAGCUUGAUUACAUUCAUGUUCGUGCACGUCGUGGUCAAGCCACUGAUAGUCAUAGCUUAGCUGAAAGAGUGAGUACUAAUUAACUUAUCAUCUCAUUUGUGUUACUAAUGAUCAUUUUAUACGUGAGCUCUGAGUUUUAUCAAAGAGCUGAAAUCUAAUAGACAAAAAGUUAUUGUGGUUAACUUGUCAUUAUUUAAAUUAACAAAAUGUGAUUUUGAAUAAACUUGUUUCACAAAAUUGAUUUUACUAAAGUUAUUUGUUAUUAAUUAAAGUUACAUUGAUGUUUGGAGACAAAGUUAAUAUUAUUUUUAAUUUUUUUUAGCAUAAAUGCUAAUGUUCUGUUAUGGUCUGUUUGGUGUAGGUUAGAAGGGAAAAAAUAAGUGAGAGAAUGAAGUAUUUGCAAGAUUUAGUGCCAGGAUGCAACAAAAUUGCAGGCAAAGCUGGAAUGCUUGAUGAAAUCAUUAACUAUGUUCAGUCUCUUCAACGACAAGUUGAGGUUAGAGUUUUAGUCCUGCUUCAUUUCCAUACUUUUAGACAUUAACUUAGAAGUGUUUGAUGAGUUUUAUCACUGUAUGCACCUAACUCAUUGUACAUUAUCACUGUGUGCAGUUCUUAUCAAUGAAAUUAGCUGCUGUAAACCCAAGACUUGAUUUCAACAUUGAUGAAUUAUUUGCCAAAGAGGUAAGGGCAUUGCAAGUUGCACAAAUUUAGUUUAUAUUUUCUCUAAAAUCGCAUUUGACUGCAAUUAUCCGUGAUCUGGUAUGCAACAUGGUGAUUUUGAAUGUUAGGUCAAUGGUUUUAAAUAAAGGUUUGUCACUGUGAUUCAAGAUGGGAAAAAAUGGCUUUUGAUGUUUCCAAAACCACAACACAACCGUGAUUGAGGUUUACCGCAAUUCUUUGCGAUAUCAACUAAUUCCACAACUAUUUUAUAUUUAAAAUCCUUGUUAGUUCUGUGUCCGUCCGUAAUUAAGUACAUGUUUAGAUUGACAGUAAAAUGAUUAAAUCUACAUUGCUAUAGGAUUAUGACUAAUUGACCGUCAAUCUAAACAUAAUACAAUACACUAAGUCACAUUGAACAACAAUUAUCCACAAUAUCAUGGAUUGAGACACAUUGUUAGUGCAACCACAGUUUAAAAUCUCAUCUUCUUUUCUUUUUUUAGCUUGCAUGCUAAAAUGCUCUUAUAUUAUUUGAAACAUAUACAGGUUUUUCCUCAAAAUUUUCCAAGCAUAGGGAUGCAAUCAGACAUGGCAAAUCCUUCAUAUCUUAACUUCAAUUCAAGCCAACAACUAGUUUCAUCACUUUCAUAUUGUGGUGGAAUAAUAAACAAUAUCGGACUAAUGCCUCCGGAUAUCGACAUUAGAAGGAACAUUAAUGCCCCUGCAUCUUUACCUGAAAUGUUUGUUGACUCAUCAUGUUUCACUGUAUGUUUCACCUCUUUGUAUCUGUCCUCUAAAACAUUGUUCAUGUUCAUUAAUGAUUAGUUUUCUACAAUUGACCUUAAUUUAUGUCGACUGCAGCAUAUUCUACCCUCCUCAACUUUGGAAGGUGAUUUCCAAAACCUUCACAAUGUGAUUUUUGAUCAAGGACGAUCAACAUCAUUUCCUUCUCAGCCAUUUACAGGUACCUACAAAUUUAUGACUUGUCAAAUCACUUUUUUUCCUUAGCCUGUUCUCAUACAAGUAGAAAGUUGAAGCAUGACAAAUUGGAUUUUCAUAGAUGAUAGAGACGUGAUAGCCCCACAGAUAUUGAUAAGUCCCUUUUCAACAAAAUCAAGAUUUUUUUUACAUCACUUUUAAUUAUUGUUAACUAAAUAUAUGACUCAAGGUAGUUUUGUCAAAUUUACUGAAUAUGUUCAUCUGACAAACACCCUUAUUUUAUAGACUAAGUUAAAUUGUUUACUACUUUGAAAGCAAUUGAACUAGGAUACUUGAAAAUGUAAAUUCUAAAUGUGUUGUUUUAUGACUGUAGGUUUGAUUGAAGCUAGUAAUCUGAAGAUGGAAAUGUAAACCACAAGAUUUUCUAUUAUAAUUUGUUGGAUGAGUCAUUCCAAAUGCUUCUUAUCAAGAUUCUUUUUCUAUUAAAGUACAUAAACAUAUUCUGGUUGUAUACUGCUCUCUAGUAUAAAUAAAUAAAUAAAUAAGAUCAUUGCAAAUUAAACAUUGCAUUUUCUUUCACUUUUCAGUUAUAUGACAUGAAAAAAUAAAAAAUAAAAUAAAGAUUCAAAUAAUUUUAGAUUGAACCUUUUACUAAAGUAUGAAACUUUUUUAAGAAAAAUAAUAAUCACCUUAGUUGAAAUUGUAGUCACACUAGCGAUAUAAAGGUUUUAGAGGUUUUCGCAGCGACAUCAUAGUCACAAUUGCACUUGUAUGGCCAAAUUUGAAAGAAUUAUUUUGCCACAAUAUCAAAGUUCAUUGCAUAAAAGCAUAUGCAAAAACAAGUUAAAAUCAUCUAUUGCUUAGUAAUUUUUUGUUUUAGACCUAAAGUCGUUGUCACAUUUGCUUAUUUCUUUGAUGUUUCAAUGUCAAUAUUUUUGGAACCUGUGGAGCUUCAAUUUUAAUGGAGAGAUUGGUGGACCUGUUUCAUCUAUAGCCAAGAAUUUUUUGAUUAUUUGUUUAUGUGAAUGAUGAGAUAUGCCCCUGGAUUUUCCAUUCAUCAACCCCACCUCAGCUUUAGGUGAAAUCUUCCUUUCCCACAUAAGAACCGUAGGUCCAGAGUAUAAGAGGCUAAUAAAAACCCAAAAAGAUUCAUUUCAAGUAUGAUACUAGCUUAUUAAAAGAAAAGAAAGUUCAUUUUGUAAUAAAAAGAAGAAAAAAUAAGAAAGUUGAUUUACUAUUAUUAAAUUUGUUGUUAAAUGAUAUUGUUUUUACAAUUUCAUCAUUCAACAAAAAAAAAUUAGUUAGUAUUAUCAUAAUAAUAUUUAUUGAUAUAAACUAAUUAGGCAUAUAAGUGAAACAAUAAUUAAUGCAAUUGAACAUGCAAGAAGAUAAUUUUAUCAAAUUCCUAAUCGAAAGGAACAAAAAUAAAUUAUUUUAAACUCUAAUUUAACUAACAAUGUCGAUAUUAUUAGGUUAGACAACAUCUCUUUUAAGAUAAAAAAUUAAAAUAAAAUAGGGACUAUUAUUCAUAUAAUGCAUUGUUUACAUAUUUUGGAGGUCGAAAAAUGUGUUUUGUUAAUAUUAUUAGUUUUUUGUUGUAGGUGAAGAUCCAACUCGCAAUCUCCUUGUUAAAAUACACUUCCUAACUCCUCCUCUUCAAUCACUAAGCAACUUUUUAUCCCAUUGUAAAAAAAUUGAAUUAAAAUAUAAUUUUGACUAAUUAAUAAUAAUAAUAAUAAUAAUAAUAAACAAUAAUAAAAACAAUUAUCCAUUAGAAAUAGAAUUCAAAACAAUCCAUUCAAACAAAAAUCAUUGAGAAAUGAUUUUUGUUUAUCUAUAUAGUUGUUAUUUUUUACAUAUUAUAUCACUAUUAUGUACGACUUCCAUUUAGAUUUUAUAGAAAUAAAUUUUAAUUUUAUCAUGAAUAAUUCAAUUUGACAUGUGUAUAUCAGUAUUAAUAAAUUAUAAUGAGUAUAUAUUUUUGUCAAUAAUUUAACAUAAUUGAUUUAUUUUGUCACAUACCAACUCAAAUAUAUUUAAUAAGAAAUAUAAAAGAAUUUAUACUUGAAAAAUAACAAAAAUGAAUAAAUACAUAUAACCAUCAAGAACUGGAUUUAUAAUUUGUUGUUUAUUACAUGCAGAAAAUUUAUAAUUUGAUCAUUAAUGGUUUACUUUAUCUCGUUGUAUAUCAAUGUUAAUAUAUUAUAAUUAGUAUAUCAAUAUCAUUAAUUUUAUCAUCAAUUGUUUACUUUAUCACGUGUAUACUAUCAGAGUUAUAUUAAAUUAAAAAUAUAGAAUAAUUAUAAAUAAAUUAAAUUAAAAUAUAAUUUUGAUUAAUUGAUAAUGUUGACUAGUCGGAGCAAAAUUUUGAUUCAAAACUGUUGACAUUAGUUGUCAUUUAUAAAAAUAAAAAUAAAAAUAAGCAAACCCACGAUAACAAAAAAGAAAUGGUCAAUGAUAAAACAAAAAAGUUGAAAAACAAAGCAAAAUCAUGCAAAUGAUUCAUAAAAAGAAUUGUGACAAGAAUAAACACUAGUAUUCUCCAUUAUAAUUUCAAAAGUACUAUAUGAAAAUGAAUUUCAAAAGUACUAUAUGAAAAUGAAGAAUCUAAUAAGAAAAAUAAAAAAAACAAUUGAGAAACCUGCAAGCCAUACAUGCAUAGCAAACAAAGUUCAGUCACUCAAUCAAUGAUAUCAUAAAAAAAUUCCAAAAUUUAUAACUUUAUAUAAUAAGAUAAUAGAUAAGAACCAAACAAACUCAUGAUCUCAAAUUUUCUUGACCAACUUUUCACUUGGUAAAUAGAUAGGUUUAGUAGAGGAUCUUGCACAAAAUACCAGGGAGAGUCGGUGAGCGACAAAUAUUAACUAAAAUAUUAUAAUUGAAAUUCUUAAAAGUCAUAUAGUUUUUUUUAGAGUUCCACACAAUUCAUACAUAAUAGACAAGUUGAAAAAGUUAGAAUUAUAAUUCUCACAAGUUUUACACUUUUCACAAGUCACACAAUUCAUACAAGCUUUUAAAACUUCAAACAAUUCAAUCAAAUAAAAUAUAUUCAUUUUACGAUUUUCAUCUUUUUCGAAAACUUUCUUCUUGAACAAAUGCAUCAAUUUUUUUAUGUUUAAACAUUGUGUCACUCCUAAAAAAAUACACAUAUUAAUUAAAACAAUUCACAAUUAAAAAAUAGUAUCUCACUAUAUAAUAUAUCAUAUAUCACACUAUUCGAGAUUAAUUAAUUUAUCAUACGAUAUUAUGUAGCUUAUCGAUAUAAAGAGUUUGUUCUAUUAAUUUUAUCAUAUUUUAUUAGUAUAAAUUCUAAGAGAAUGAGAACAAAUUGAGUAGAAAUGUGAGAGAAUAGAGGUCAUGGGAAAGGCAAAAUGCAAUUUCAAUUUCUCUAAACCAUAAAGGUUUGAGGAUUUUUUAAUAAUUUAUCACUAUUAUUUUGAUAAUCUAUCAUUAUUAUAUAUAUAAUAUCAUUAUUAUAAAUAAAAUAAAUAAAAAUAUAGAGGAUAUCGUGACUCCUAUACGCUUCCGAGAAGAUCGCCGCUGUCUAGGUUACCUAUGCAGCAGAGGCAACAUUAGGCAAAGGCAGAAGCCCGAGUGGUGAAAGAGAAGAAAGUCAUAUAGAAUUGGGAAGAAAAGCUUGAAUUCUUCGUGAUUUUUCGAAUUCUCAAAACCUAUUUAGUAAUUUCAAACAUAUACACAUUAUAUACAUAGUUGUAGUUGCAGAGUAAUACACAUAGUACUCGUCGCCCUUGAUUUGCACCAAAUUAAAUUAUUAUGAAAUUCCAAUUUAACUUAGUGUUUUCAUGGUCAUAAAUUAUGCUCGAAUCACUCAAGUGUAAGCCAACAAAAUUAGACUAUAUAUAUUCAAAUUAUUUAAGAUUCUUUUAUUCUACAACUUAUUUAUUUAUUUAGAAUCCUAUAAAAUAAACAAAAAAUUGUCAAUUAAUUAAGUUAUCUUCGUUUAUUUAUAUGACAACAAAUUAAACUAUAUCUAUCCAAGUUACUUAAGAUCCUUUUAUUGUAAAGCUUAUUUUUAAUUUUUAGGAUCCUAUAAGAUUAACAAGAAAUUGUCAAUAGGAAUUGAAUCAUAACUAUUCAGGUUAGUGUUGUAAGUUGAUUAAUUUAUGACCAUUGCAGGUUCCAUCCCAUCAAAUAAUGUGAAAGAAAAUGGCAAGAAAUACAAAGUGGAUCAAAUAGUGGUUAGUUACACAGUUCACAUGAUAAGUUGCAACUCAUAUCAUUUAGUUAUUUACUAAUUCUAUUUAAUUGAACUCUUUUCCUUGAUAAACCAUCUUUAAGUUCAAUUCAUAUCAUCAUGUGAUUUUCUAUGAAUAGUCAUAGCUUCAACUGAAGUAACAAUAUUGAUUUACAAGAAAGGGGGUUUGAAUUGUAAACGCACCUUUUAAAAUUCAUGUUUAAAACUUGAGAAAAUAACUCAAGAUUGAUCUUGGUUAUGAAAACAGAAAACGGAGAACGUUCUUGGUUUUUGUAUUAAAACAGAGAACGUUCCUUGAUUAGUUGAAAACAGAAAAUCAGUUUAUGUUUUAUCUUAGUUAAUUAAUUCAGUAUGAUAAAUAGAGAGAUAGGAUAGAGAAUACCACACAAAGAUUUUAUCCUGGUUCACCAAACGUGGGUUACGCCCAGUCCUCACACUGUGAGAUUUUCCACUAAGUGUUUAAAACAAAGAGCUUUUUUGAUCUUACAACACCUAGUCUAUGUCAACAUUGAUCUAUUUCAAACUUUAUUGCUUUCCACCCAUAAAGCAAUAUCAAUACCUAUCUAACCUUGAUAGGAAGUAAUCUUAAAACAAACUAUAAAGAAACUCUUAUAGUUUGAGUUUUUACAAUUUGAUUGUUUUGACANNNNNNNNNNNNNNNNNNNNNNNNNNNNNNNNNNNNNNNNNNNNNNNNNNNNNNNNNNNNNNNNNNNNNNNNNNNNNNNNNNNNNNNNNNNNNNNNNNNNNNNNNNNNNNNNNNNNNNNNNNNNNNNNNNNNNNNNNNNNNNNNNNNNNNNNNNNNNNNNNNNNNNNNNNNNNNNNNNNNNNNNNNNNNNNNNNNNNNNNNNNNNNNNNNNNNNNNNNNNNNNNNNNNNNNNNNNNNNNNNNNNNNNNNNNNNNNNNNNNNNNNNNNNNNNNNNNNNNNNNNNNNNNNNNNNNNNNNNNNNNNNNNNNNNNNNNNNNNNNNNNNNNNNNNNNNNNNNNNNNNNNNNNNNNNNNNNNNNNNNNNNNNNNNNNNNNNNNNNNNNNNNNNNNNNNNNAGAUUGAUCGAACUUUCUUGACAUUUGAUUUUUUGGAGUUUGCAAACUGUCAUGACUUUUGUCUGUCUUUGAGUCCUUUAAUCUUUGAAACCAAAUAGCUUUUUUGAGUUUGGAUGAAUCCUACUUGUUCAUUGCCAUGUAUUGAUUAGAUAUGAAUAAUUUCCAGGGCAAACUCUUUGUCAAAGAGAUAGAAAAAGUUUAACCAAUAUGCUGUGAUGGACAGUUGUUGAAGUUGGAGAUCAUUCUCUGUUAUGAUGCAGAAUGAUCUUGUUGCUGUCUUUUCUUGAUUUGCUUGAUUCUGUUCUUAAUUAAAUCCACUCAAAAACACAUGUUAAAUUAACAUAACAUUUUAGAAUCAUAAUUAAUUUUCUUAAUUAACCUUUGUUUAUUUUCAUCAAAACUUUAAAUAUAGAGUUUGUCUCAACAAUCUCCCCCUUUUUGAUGAUGACAAACAUGUUAAUUUAGAUUUUAAUUCUGAUUCUAAUAUAAAGAGUUUUAACAGCUCCCCCUCAAUUUGUGCAUUUUUUAAUUUAACAGAAAUUAAAACAAUGUAUGUAAUGAACAUGGUUUUUCAUUUAAUUAAUAACAAAGAUACAUUAGUAUUGGCAGAAUUACAUAAUCAAGCUUAUCAAAUUAAAACUAACUUAAUUCUCCCCCUUUGUCAUUCAAAAAGACAACAGUUAAACAACUAAGAAGCUAAGGAGGGAGAAGAUCCUUCUGAGGAGGAGGAUUUUCCAAGAUGAGGGACUUGAGAAGGAGGAGGAAUCGGAUGAGGAGGCGGUCGUGGAAUUCCCAGCUUGGGAGCAAGGUGAUCUGCCAUCCAAGUUCUGAGUAAAGCAGUCUCUUGAUCGUGCUGAACUUGUCUUGCCAUGAUGAUCUGUAGAGCAGCCAUAAUGUCAGAGUUGGAGGGUGCAGUUAAGGUGGGAGUAGGGUGAAGGUCAGCGGAGGGUUGAGAGGUGGUAGCAACAACGGUGUUGGAAGGAAUAGGUGCUGUAGAGAUGGAUGGAAUAGAAGCAAAGGAGGAUGAUACAGAGGGUAGGGGACCAAUAGAUAUGUUAGAGGGGCUAGCAGUAGUGGGAAAGUUCAAAAACUGACUAAUGCCAAA